UUUUUUUUUUUUUUUAUGAAAACUCAGUCAACAUAUAAAGCUCUAUAGACUUGUAGUAUAUGGGUAAAAAGAUACCUAAAUACAAUGAAACAGCUCAUGACCCUGUUAUCACGAGUGAAGUAGAUCCUUUCAAGAUUGAUUCUUAUUUCAAAUUGUCAUGAAAGAUAAGUCAGUAAUGGACUUUAUGAACUUGUAAUGUGGCUUAAAAAUGAUAGUUAAAAGAAGUAAGAUUUUCAAGGAUAUUGCAUUUAAAAUUGCAUUUCUUCCAAAAUUGCCCCCAUUUUGGGAUAAAAAACCUUAGACCCCAUUUCAACUCUUAUCAUCAUCACUGAAAGGAUUUUGGCAUUGAAUUUUCUCUUUUUCUCUUUUUCGCUUUUUCGCUUUUUUUGCAUUUUCUUUUUCUUUUUUCCUUCAUUUUCUCUUUGCUUUUCCUUUUCCUUUUCCUUUUUCUUUUCGUGAAUACUAAAGUCUAACUAUCAAUGGUAGAAUCAAAACUCCCUAACUUUUAAAAAAUACAUACACAAUUCUUUUUUUUUUCCAAUACUUCAUGUUUCUUCUAAAAAAUUUAGCAUUUUUACUAUUAUUGAAAAUUCUCAAAUUUCCUACCCUAAUGUAGGGUGCAAUCAUAAGUACUUUUGAAACAAAUACCAAUUUAAACUCAAAUAAAGAUGCCAAGGACAAACAGCGUUUAAAAGUAGAAAAGAUGGCCAAAGUAUCAUUUUUACUUCACAUAACAACCAAAGUAGAGAAUAGAUAGCUCAUUAGGAGAAUCUAUUCUCUUUCGACAUUUGAAAAUUUUUUCAAUGUAGGGUUGUGAUCACCAAGACUCUUAUUUGGAACGAAAUUGUACUUUUGAUGGCUCAAAUAGAAAAACAAAUGAUGAAAUAUGUAUAGAUAGAGAAAUGAAUGCCUAAAGUAUCAUCCCAAAUUCUCAAAAUAAAUAAGAGUAACGAAUAUUUUUGUCUUCAACUAGAUGUUGAUUGAAUCUAGUUAGAAAUACUGAACCCUUCCAAAGAAAAAAUUGCCCCGCGUUGAAAUUUAUCAACCAAUGUGAUUGAUUCUGGAGGUUUGAUAGAAUUGGACAAAAUAUGAAUUGCAAAAAUGAAAGAGAAAAGGUAUUAUACUUGGUCUUUUAAAACAAACUAACAAGUUCAAGUGGCCCCUUUGAUAUUUUGAUUUCAAAUACUCUCACUGAAUUGUAUGGGCUACAAAUCUAGUACAUGCAAAGACUUUAGAAAGCUAAACACACACUUAUGGAUUUCAUACAAUAGAUGAAAAAAAUUGAGAAUCGUAACUUAGUCUUUUUUUUAAGAUUCAUCGUGAAGUCUCCAUACAAGUAGAAAAAGAAUGGAAUGCAAAUAAAUAUAUACAACUGCAAACAAGAAUAGUCUAAAUGAAAAAAAUUCAUUAUUGCAAACGUUUGAAACAAAAAUGUUGCUCAAUUAGAGUUCAAAUGAGAAAAAAAAAACUCCCUUUCAUACACACACACACACACACACACACACACACACUUUCUCCUUUUCUUUUAAGACAAAUUGUAUUAGAAACAACAAAGAAAGAAUUUUUCUUUUGGCAAACAACUAUAUCAUGAAAUCUCUUAGAUGCUCUAAAUUGGCGCUUCUAGAUGAAUUCUUCAUAUUUCACAUUGUAGGAUCUAUGCAAGAGUCAAGUAAUAUUUAUAUUUUUUAAAACUUUAUCAGAUCAAAAUUAUUGUCAAAUAUGAAAAAAUCAUUUUGCCUUAUUGAAAUAUCUUUUAUAAAUGUCGAGGAGGGAAAAAAGAAAAAAAAUACUUAGAAUUAGUAAACAAAAUUGCAAAUCUGGUAUGCAUAUCCUAUAAGUAAAUCCUUUUAUACCAAGGAUUGGCCUAGUAUGAAAAUGCAAUCCUCUAGGUUAGUUGCCAUAUAAUAGUUGAUGGAUCUGUUGGGGAUAAUACAAGAGAAGAUGGCUAAAAGUUACAAAGCAAAUGAUACAAAAAGAUUUCAAAUUGUGACUCAAAAUCACUUUUCUUUAGGGUUUAUUUGUCCAGAAUUUUGUGUGCAAAGACUUUGGACAAAUAUCCUUUAGAAUAAUUUGAAAAGUGUUUGUCUUAACUCUUGCACAAAUUUAGACAAAUCUACUUAAACUAUGGUGUGCUUGUACAGAGAAUUCUAGUAAUAGGAAAAUGAUCUUUUGUAGCAAACCAUCCCUACUAGACCUUUAUAGAGUUGAGAUUGAAUAAUCAAGAGUUGCAACCUUUCACCACUAGUUUACGUAUUUGUGUUGGUUCAAAUGUUCCUCAACAUCAAUGCAAGUGUUCAGACAGUUUUUGGAUAUUUAAACACUAUUUAGAUUGUAAUUAACUGUCAAAAACAUAAAGAGGUGCCAAGUAGACUUGAAUAACUUCUAAACAUUGUAGGAACCAGAUAAUGGUGGGUCUUAUGUCGGGUUCUAAGACAGGCCCCUAUCUUGCAAUUGAUCAAAAUUUGAAAAUAUCCAAUAGGAUCCAAUCAAUUUAUUGAUAUUUGACUAAAAAACUGAUUGAUUGUUUUGAUUGACACAUGAAGAGAUGCAAAAGGCCAAUUUAGCAUGAAAGAACCUACUUUUAGAGGGAUUGCAAUGCCUCUACUUGGCCUUGAUAUUUUAUUAUCUCAACAAUAAUAACUUAUUUGUAAACUUCUUCGACUUAGUGUCCUAACGCAAAGGAUUUUACAAUCUUUGAUAAAGUAGCCAAAAUGUGAUUAUCAAAGGCUCAUAUUCUAAUGUGCAAAAACUACUCCAUAAUCUUCAAUGUCAUUAUCAUGAAAGGGAUCAGAUCCUAUCUUACCUUGUGUACUACCGCUUUGAAUGGUGCAAAAAAUAUAAAUAUGCAAGUCUGAUUAGAUUAUAUAUCCAAGACAAAAGGAUAGUUUAUUAUUAAUGCAGGAUUCCCUAAAUGGCAUUCCCUCUGUAGUUAAUGCAUGAUGAUGGUUUAUUAAAAUGAGUAAAUAUGCAACAUGAUAAUUGAAAUAUGACCUAAAGAUGCCCCUAUUGAAUGCCAAGGUAAGCCUAAAAUGAAAUAUAAUAUACAUAUAUAUGUAGCGUUAAUGCAAUAAACAAAAAUUUAAAUCUGUAAUAAUUUAAUGGGUAAAAUACCAAAAAGCUCCAUGUGGAUUGUCAAAUGUUAAAUUUAACUCCUUUUGAUUUGGAAACCUUCACUAUAACUCUCUGUGAUUUCAACUAAAUUGAAAGUUGGAUGGAAAGCAUCCAAUCUAACAGUUAUACGUAAAAUGUCAAGAUUGCCCUUAUAUAAAUAAACUCCCUAUGAUUCGCUAAAUAUUUAAUUUCACUCCCUCUGGUUUGAAAAACUACACUAUAGCUCCCUGCGAUUUCGACUAAAUUGAAAAUUGAAUGGAAAGCAUUUUACGUAUAGUAGGUGUAAGAUUGACAUUUCCUAUUCAACCGUUACAUUGAAUGCUUUCUGUCCAAUUUUUAAUUUAGUCGAAAUCACAGGGAGUUAUAGUAUAAGUUUCCAAUUUAGAGGUGUUAAAUUAAACAUAUAUCAAACCACAAGGAGUAUUUUGGUGUUUUACCCUAAUUUAAUCUAAAGGGUAGUUUCUCCUAAAUGACUACCAUACCAAGUUUCUUAUUUCUAAGGUUUAUGAAUGCAAGACAAGGGAAGAAAACAAGAUUAGUUUAUUUGAUAAAUAACACAUAACACAUUGGAACAACAAAAUAAUACAAAAAUAUAUGGUAAAGAAAAGAAAAAGGGGUAGAAUGCCUCUCCUCGUGUCUAGUGUUCCUAACAAGAUGAAUGAGGCUCUAUCCUAGGUGAUCUAAAUGGAUGCACGAGGUUGAAGUUCAUUAAUGCAUAUAGAUUCAAUAGGGUUUUAAGUCCCCAAACCUACAGACCAAAAGGCAAAUGGUCAUCAAUCCCAGGGCCUUUAAUUGGUGGCUCGAGUAAUCCUCCAGACACUAUUACGUGCACGUCGUGCCAUGGCCACAUGUCCAAGUGGAUCAAUCCUAAUUCUAAUCCUAAUAGAGAAAAAUGGUAUGACAACCACUAAAAGAAAAAAAAACAAGGGUUAAAAAGGAAUAACAUAUAUGCAUAUAAAGUGUUCCUUUAAGGGAAGGGAUUAAGAACCAUUAAACAUGUAUGAAGGCUCUAGGGUAGCAUCACUCCCUACCCCAAAUACAAAGCGUGAUACAAAUAAGUAAAUACAAGUAAAUAAAUGAAAAUAAAUAAACCAUCCAUCACAUACAUGAAGAAUGAGGAAUGAAUACGAGUAUGAAAUCCAAAAGAUCCUAAAAGAGAAAUGCAAACUAAAUCAUCUAAAUGCAAUAUGCUAAAAAGGGUUAGGAAAGGAAAUUGUGAAUAAACCAAGUGCUCAGACUCACUAGUGAUUCCCAGUGGAGUCACCAAUUUGUCGCGUCCUAUUCUUGAAAUACAAGGAAAGGUGUUUUUGAAAAAAUGAGUUUUUUUUUUAUUUUAGAAAAUGCAGAAAAAUGCCUAAAAUGGGACUUAAAAAAUGUGAUGGUUUUGGCCUAAAAUAAUAGUCUAAAAAAGGGAUUUUAGAAAAGGAGAGUCUCUACUUGGUAUCGAGUUUAGGUAGACCAAAUCACCCAAAAAUGUUUUAAAAAAUAAAGACAAAUAAAAUCAUUUUAAACGACUCCAGAUUUUUGAAAAUGAGAGAAAAGAUUCGGGAGUCACGGUUGAAGAAAGAGAAGGUAAAGAUUUGAUUGAUUCAAAUCUAAGACACUCUUUCAAUCUAACCAAAGUUAGUUCGAGAUUAAGUCAAAAAUUUUUCUAAUCUAACCUCUAAAUUUAUUACACUCUAAUGCUUCCAUAUGGAUGCAAAUUUAGACUUAAAGGAUAUCGGGAGGAACGAAAUGUCUCUUCAAAAUUUAGUUAGUAUCAAUCAUAUUAAUUAUGAAAUUCAAGAAUGAUCCCUUAAAGAGGUCACAAAAAUGCGAAAGAUGAGAUUCAAAGAAAAGAAAAUUAUGAUAGAUAGAUAAAUAUACAUGACCUAAAAUAGAGAAAUGCAACAUAACGGGUAUGAAAAAUAAAAAUUUGUGACACAAUUUUCCUUUUUAUAGAGGGGUAAUAGCGUGUUAAGGUUAAGAAGUCAUACUUGCCUAUUUUUUAUAUUCAAAAGAUGACUCUUCUAACCUAAAUAAGCAAAUGGACUAACUUAUUUUCUAAUUUGCCAAAUGAAAUACAAGCCUAAAUAACAUGACUUGCACACAUAGGGAUAAGGGAAUAAUAUAAGAGGCCGUACCAUGCAAAUGAAAAUAAUUUAAAAUAAAAAAAUUUAUAUGAAAUGCAAUAAAUUUCAUACCAAAGUAUGAAUCUAGCGCAUAAAUGGUCUAACGGUCUAACAUUAGAUAAGCCCAUUUGUACAAGUUUUCAUUAGCGUUGGAUUAGGAAAAAAUUGGGAUGAAAAGCCACAACUAAUAUUGAACUAGUAUGUUGACAUCAUGCACUUAUUAUAAAUAAAUAGAGCAUAUAGAGCAUAAUCAAAAUAAAUAAAUACAUAGAACACGCAGAGCAUGUAGUGCUCAUAGCACAUAGACAUAAUAUCUAAAUGUAAAAUCCUAAGAAAAGCAAAUAAAACACAUAAGCACAUAGCUACACAAGUACAUAAGACCUAACUAUUACAUUGGGAGUUCUAACUACAAUCUAAAAGGGGAAUAUAAGAUAAUAAAUCUAUUUAACAUAUCUAUUACACUUAUCUAAUUAAUUACAUUUCUUGCAUUGCACAAGAGGAUACAACCUAUAUAUUACAAUUUGGGCAUUUAUAUACCCUCCAAAUAAUCAUAAGAUUUAAAUUAAACAAACAUGAAAAAAUUAAAAUAAAUAAAAGAAAAACACGUGAAACAUAUAAACACAUAGGAGCACAUAGAACGAAUUUAAAGAAUAAUAUGUAUACCUCUCUUUUAAAGUAGUGAUUAUGUGAAAGGAAGGGAGAGUUGUCUAUUUUUUUCAAAAUCAACAAGGGGUCAAUGUAUCAAUUUAAUUGACAAUUAAUUAUUAAAGAUAAAGAAACUUAAUCUAAUAAAUUAACAUUCCAAGCAAUGCAUGAAGAAUCAAAGAGCCAAGGAGAACCUUAAUAAUAAAAUCAACAAAGAUUCUUAGGGACUAAAAUGAGAAAAUUAAAAGUUUUUGGGGCACAAGUAUGAAUUUAUUAAACAUUGAGGCUAAAAUGCAAAUUCUGCAAAAGUAAUUUUUUAGUACUCUAUUAUUCAUAAUAUAAUCAGAUUGAACUAAUUAACCACUAAAAAAUAGUUUGAGCCAUCGAACAAAAACUAUUUGCAUUAAUUUCUAAAGUUGCCAAAUUGAAACUUUAAAUUGAACAAAUUUAUUUAAACCCUAAUUGUAGUUAAAAAACCAUGAAUUAGUUCACCAACAUAUGCAUGAGACAUCGUAAAGAGAGAUCAAAACUCUAAAAGGAAGAAAUUUAUCCAUUUCCACAAUUUUUGGGCCAUAGUAUAAGUAUGCAAACAUUAGGGAGCAAAUUGCAAAUGCUUCUUGUAGAUUUCGGUAUAAAUCAGUGAAUAUAAUGGCGCAACAAAAUUUUUCAGAAAAAUUAAAGUCUAAAAUAACAUGUUCAAAAAGAAAAAUAAAGAAAAGAGCUUUGGUUCUUAUGCUUUAACACAAUCUUUAGCAUGACAAAUUUGGACAAAUGAACUGUCUCUUAACCCAAACAAGGCUACCUAAGUAACUUGAACAAAAUGCAUGAAGUUUACAUGAAAUGAACUAACAAGCCCAAUCCAAAAUACCUCAACCUUAAAUCCUAACAAAGUUACCCAAUUCAAACUAACCAAACCCACUUUUCAGCCCAUGAUCAAUUUUACAAACAAAACAAGGAACAACAAUAAGUGAGCCCAAGAUAGGAAUGUUCAUUAGCCCAUGUUAUGAUCUAAAAUCGACCCAACCAAUAUAAUAACUAUUUAGAUUAUAAAUGAAGCAAAACAAGAAAAAAAAACAAAACAAAACGAAAAAAAAAUGAAGGAAAUAGAGGCAAAGUGCCACAGAUUGAAGAAGCAAUGGUUGACUUCAAGUCAAAUGUAUAGGUUUUGUUAUCUGGUUCUUCAAUGAAGUUAGCGGGACUUUUACAAGACUUCCGGCCAAAUAGCUGGAAUCUUUGCCGGAAAAAUAUUUCCAUGAUUUUAUAGUUCAACUAUUUACAUCUACUAACUUUUUUCAUCAUUCUAAACACAUUUGUAACAUCAAAAUCACCUUGGAAGCAUUGUAUUUUUGUACAAAAAGAAACAAUGUUCAAGAAAAUACAACAAAAACCCACAUCUCAACUUUCUACUUUUCAUAAAGAAAACUCAACAAAACUUCAUAAAAGUUUAUAGCAAUGCCCUACAUGGAUCUAAAAGGGAAAGUAACAUGACAAAAUCAUAAACCAAAACAUCCCAAAAGGAAUCACUAUUUUCAACUAAGAAAUGGAAGCAAAAAUUUUUUUUUUUUUAAAAAAGUAGACAAAUAUAAUAUAAAGCAAAAGAAAAUUAUCAAGUGAGGUUACCUACAACUCCUCUAAAGGUUUCGAGUUAAAAUAAACCGUGAUGGAUCAAUGGAAUUCAAGAUUCGUGAAGUUCCUUUUUGUUGAAAUAAAAAGUUUCGAGUUUCAAGAAAUGGUGAAUGCGCAAAUUUGAGUGACAAUUUCACAGCCAUAGAGUGGGAUUUAAAAUUGGGAUUGAAAUUUGAAACUCUUUUUGAAAUCAACACACUUGCUACAGAAGUGGCUAACUCUUGAAACAAUCAGGGAGUGAAUUCGAAAUUGAUAGGGAUUUGGAAUUUGAAAAACCAAGGAAUUGGAACUUGCUUUGAAAUUUAUAAGCUUAAUACGGAAGCGGCACUUGCUAUGAAAGUGACUAACUUUAUUGAAAUUUAAAAAAUUAGGGGUUGCAAUUUGAAACUUGAAUGUCAUGGGGCUAAUACUAAAAACAAUGCAAUUGAGCUAUAUGUGAUGAGAAAAUUCUAACAUUUUUUUAAGAGAAAAUUCAGGGUCUCUUCUUCUUCUUCUUCUUUUUUUUUCUCUUUUUUUUUUUAAGAAGUUAAACGGACUACAUGAAAUGCAAUCAAAUUAAUGUGAAAAUACCUCUACCCAACAAUGACCUGAGGUUCCCACCCGCUUGAUGGUCUGUUGCUUGCUUUGAACUUUAGACUUUGAGUUUCAAAAUUCAAUCAUCCUUUAUUGAAAAAUCACUUUUAGAUUUCCAAUUGCUUUGUAGUUUGUUGCUUCAGGUCUCAUAUUUGAAUUUGAAGGUUGAGUCAUCCAGCAAAAUCACAAAACACGGGGGGAUAUCAUGCACAUAUAAAAUUGAAUCAAUUGAUUCUGAGCAAGUUCCCAAGGUCGAAUCAAAAUUCUACCCUAGUUUCUGACUUUUGCACCAUAUACUUCUAAAUUUGAUUGACUUCAAAUAGCUACAUACAGCUAGUCUCAAUUGAUCCAAACCACUGAUCCAAGUAGGACUACUGCCACCUGAUUUGGUUCAAGGUCUCAAGAUUACCCCAAAAUUGAAUCCAUUCACGUUUUGCCCUAGUUUCUGGAUUUGAGCAUUGCAAAGUGAACCUUUUGAUGAUUCAAAAAUAACUCUCAUUUCAGGUUCAUUGAAUUUCAAUUAUUAUCUUCGCUGCUCUAAUUGCUAAAGCAACCCAAUUAUUCCCCUAACAAUUUCAUAUAAAAGGUCUCACAGAUUCUUGGAAAUUCCCAGUUCACUUCGAGAUCCGGCAUAAAUAUGUCAGGACAAAGAACAGUGGCAUGAAUAGCAAUCUCCCCCGUUACGAAGAAGUAAGCCCCGUUAUCAUUAAAAAACAUCUCAGAGACAGAUAUUGCUGAAGAUGGUUACAUUUCUUGCCACACUGCCAUCUACAGCAAUGAUGCAUCCAAAACUAUGAGGAGAGCAAGUUUUAAGGACAAAGCAUGAUACUUUUGCUAGGCCAUAACUAUAAUCUAAUUGUUUUGAUGAUUAUUGUGCAAGCUUAAGUGCAAGAUUAAGCUUCUAAUCCUACUUGGAUUUAUGGAUUGGAAAACUUUCGAUUACAUUUGCAGAAUAAAAGUUGUGUUAAAUUGACAAGGGCUAAUUUUGUGAUCUUUUUGAAGGUGUUUUAUAUUGUUUUUUAGUCAAUUUGUGAAGUUAAUUGGUAUAAGUUGCUCAUUUUGGUCUCUACUUUGCACUUGAGUUGAUAGAUGAAUUAAUUGUGAUUUUGUCAUUUUACUCACAAAGUAAAGAAUCACAUGCCCAACAUAAACCAUGGAAGAAUCACUCAAGGGAUUAUGCACAAUCCCUCCAAGGUUUCUUCGAAACCCUCGAAGGUCUAGUGACUGUUGCAAGUUGACAACUUGCUUGACUUUUUGUUUCUUUCUCCAUGCUUAAUGUGACAAAAAGAAACGAUUUGUAUAGUCUUUCGGGGUUCUAGGAGGCUAUUUUCUUGACUCCUGGACAAGGAGAAACAUUAUUAUUGAAGGAAAUAAUUUAGUUCUUGGAAAAAGAGCUUUUCUUUCUAGCUUAGAGUAGUAUAGUUACAGCUAUAGUUUUCAUUUUUGUUGAAGAAACUUGAAGAACUCUUGAUUUAACAAUGUAAUUUUGAUAGCAAUGAAGAUUAUGAAGUUUAGAGAUCUUGUUUCUUCACUUGAAUGAGCAUUUCUUCCUUUUUACUUUUUUUGUUAUUUCAUUAAUGCUUAGUUACAUUGAAAAUAUGAGAUUUAUUGUUAACUCUACUAUGUCUAAUUAAAUCUUCCUAUUCUAGUGAUAGUUGAACUUAAUUGUGCCUCAGUUAAGGUUGAAUAAAGUUAAUUAUUGUUAUAUCUUGUGUUUGCUAGCUCACCUAUUCUUACUUUAACACUUGUGAAUACUUGAUCACUAUUUGCAAACCAUGAUAGUUGUUGUUACUUUAUAAAAGUAGUUGACAAUGAUGGAAAUGGAAUGGGUGGAACCUCAGGACUAGACACAUGAAAGUAGAGAUACACUAAGUGAUAAUUGACCAUUUCAUUCAUAGUCAGGUGCAUUUGAUGGAUUCUAUAUCCUAGAAUAAUUGUGUUUAGUUGAGUUUUUUCAAGUUGUUAAAUUUUCUUGCAUUGUUUUAGCAUUAUGGUUGUUUUACUUAAUUAAAAUCCUUGAUUAGUCUAGAUAAUUGAGUUAACUAAAAACCUUAGUAGUUGGAAGUAAUUCUCAAGGGAUCAAUCCUAAUUCCUUUAUACUAUAAACCACAACUUGUCUACUUACAGUUCACGAGGGUUUAGCUUUAAAAUUUAAAGCGUAGAUUUGAACCUCAUCAUUAAUUAAUGACUCAACUUUCUUCGGAUUACAUUUUCCGGAUAAAAGUUAUUAAGUGAAGCUUGUACGUACAUAUGAAAUCUUAAUUUGACUUAUUUAGUUUAGAUUUAAAUAAGGGAAAGAAGCGUUCAAAACAUCCUUCAUAUUUUGUCAAAUGAAUUUUUUCAUCUCUCACUUUAAAAUGUUGAUUUUACAUCCAAAACAAAAUUAGGUUUGCCAAAUUUUGUCCCAACAUAAGUUUCCAACCAAAUUUUAGCCUGAAUCCAUUACAUGACCUAUAUGUGGUUAUUUUCUUUAGGCACAAAAAGGUCAGAUAUGUGCAAAACAAGCACAUGGGCUUGAGCACAAAAUUUCGAGUCCAAAGACAAUAUUGAAAAUUAGUAAAAAAAAAAAAACCCAAAAUUGCCAAUUUAAUUAAUUUGGAAUUUUAAGGGUAUAGCUUAAAAAAUUUUAAAAUGUGCAAACAUUUUGAAAAGUAAUAACCAUGAUUGAGCCAAAUUAUAGGAGUAGAAAAAUAGAAAAUUUGGAGGAAUAUUGAAAUCCUAGUUAAGAAGCUAGCAUUACAAGGAGGAACAAAAAACCGAAUUAAUUAAUGACUCAAAAUCACAGAAAAAAAUAACAGAAAAUCUUUAGUUCAGGAAAUUCCAAAUAAGUGAAAAUAAGAAGAGGGUAGUUGGCAAUUUCGAACUAUUAACAAUUGACAACAACAACAACAACAACAACGAAAUAGCUCUUGCUUAAGAGUACCUUUUUAAGUUUUGUUUCUUUUUUCUGUUUUCAGUUCUUUGGCCGUGUUUUCCGUAAUUUAUUGUGAUAAUAAGAAAACCGUAUACGAAAUAACUCUUGCUUAAGUGUACCUAUUUUAGUUUUGUUUCUUUUUUCUGUUUUCAGUUCUUUGACAGUGUUAUCCGUAAUUUGUUAUGCAUUGCACUUUUGUACAUUCUCCAAUUAUUUUCUCCUAUAACACACUCACUUAUGGUAUAAGAAGAUUUUUAUUCCUUUUGACUGCAUUUAGUAAAUCUUAAUGUGCAGUCGUUUGAGUGCAAAACUAAAGCAAGCAUUUUCCUCUUUGGCAACGAAAGAAGUCACCGACAGAAUUACUGGAUACUGCAUUCACAUUCAUUGUCCAAACUAAGAGCAUAUAAUUAUGUGGCACUAAAACCAUUCACUUCAUAAGGAUUUCAUUCCCUCCUCUUUUUACAUUGACACCAUAUCCAACAGAAAUGGCUUCCUUUCAUUUUCAGGUUCAUCGGAAUCAUCUCUUGCUCAUAACCCUGCUCCUAACUCUAGUGAAAAAUCCAUCAUUCAGUGUCAAACCAGACGAUCCUACUUUUCAGUUGAUCGUCAAAAUUUGUGACCAAAUUCCAGAAACGCUGUUCUGUAUAGACGUCUUAAAACAAAAUCUAUCUAGUCCAUCAACAGAUGCUUGAACUUUUGUUGAAAUAUCGAUCAAUCAAGUGCUGGCAAACGUUACCAAUACUUUAAGUGCUGUAAGGCAAGCAAAAGCUAGUGCAAGUAAGGAGGUUGCAGACCUUCUUACAAUUUGUGAAGAGGGUUAUACCGUUGUAUCUUCUUCAUAUAAUGAUGCCUUGCAGGCACUUGCCAUAAACGAUAGUGCUUCUGUGUUCUUGGAUGAAGAACAGUCCGAAAGGCCUAUAAAUGACUGCACAAAUAUCAUUAAUCCUGUGCUGCCUCAGUUUGAAAAAUACAACGCCCAAAAUCUAGCACUUCAGAGGAUCUCAGUUGCUGCUGCUGAUAUAUAUUUCCAGCGACCACCUAAGUCUUGGGGCCUGCAAAAGUUGAGUCCUCGGGCUUUUGAAGGACGUAUAUAGCUUUGAGACUGGCGUUAGAUUAGAUACAUAUUUUAAUUCAUUUCUAUCCUGUUUACUUGUUUCUUUCACUAGUUUGAAACUCGGACCAGACACCGUCUCGGUCAAGCGAGUCGAUGCGUUCAACCAAUAAGGUUGGGUUCAAAAACGGAAGAACUUAAUGAUGUAAUAAUGAAAUCAUAAAUAUAUAUUAAUUCUAAAUAAAAAAAUAAUAUAAAAAAACUACCUUUGAAUCUGGCAGACUUAAUGAGUUUUAUAACUAAAGUAGUGGCAUAGUUAAAAUUUGUUCCAGCGGAACAAAAUAUAAAAUAAAGUUGAUUUAGUUCUAUUAAUAGGAAUGCUAGCUCAUCUAUUCUUAAUUUAACACUUGUAAAUGCUUGAUCACCAAUUGUAAACCGUGUCAGUUGUUGUUAAUUUAUGAAAGUAGCAGACAAUGAUGGAAAUGGAAUAGGUGGAACCUAAGGACUAGGCACAUGAAAGUAGUGGUAUACUUACUGAUAAUUGACCAUUUCAUCUAUAACUAGGAGCAUUUAGUGGAUUCUAUACCCUAGAAUAGUUGUGUUUAGUUGAGUUUUUUCAAGUUGUUAAUUUUUCUUGCAUCGUUUUGUUGGUUCUGAGUUAAAAUAAUUAUAUAAUUAACAAUAAUUUCUCCAAUCAAAUUUAACAAAGGAACUAACAAAAAUCUCAUACAUCAAUAUUGCAUUAAUAAAUGCAAAUAAUUUGUACAAUCAAAAGUUAAUUUGGCAUGGGUUGAGGUGCAAAUUAGGUCUUAAAAUUGUUGGAGGAGAGUACAAGAACAAUUUCUGGUCUUCAAACUAACCAUCUUGAAUCUGACAGUUACUAAGAAGUUUGGUAGGGUUAAGACACGUAGAAUAUUCUCUUUAAGACAAUAUAUGCCUCUAUAAUAUUGUUUUUAAUUGAUGCAGAAGUUCUAGCGUGCUGCCUUCAGGAUACAACAGCCCAACUCUAUGGUUGUUGUUUCCCUUUGACUUGCACAACCAAGAAAAGCAGAAGCUUCCCAAUAUCUUAUUUAGCCCAAAGAAAAUCAAAAUGAAGGAGAAAGAAAUGACUGUAGGGAAAAAUAGUAUUUAGAAUAAUCUUUUGUUGAGAAAAGUGUAUAUAUAAAAAAUUCUCCAAAAACUUCACUAUUUAUAGGCUACACAAACUUUUAGAAAAUAAGUUGAACAUCCGAGUUCAAUGUAUAAUGAUAAGUGCAUAUUUUACAUGUUUUUAAGUGUGUUUUCUUAUUUAAUUUUGUUGUGUUUUUGUCAUUUUUAUAGCUAAUUAGUUAGGAUUUUUAUUAAAAAUAUGUAUUUGGUGGUUAAAAUGUGAAAAUUACAUUUUUAUGGAUUUUAAUAGUGAAAACUUCAUGUUUUUGGUAGGUUUAAUGAUUUAAUCAUCAAAUGGAGAGAAUUGAGAAGAUAAUUGGAUUAUUAUUGAUGAUUUGAAGCUAUAAAAAGAAUUCAAGGGAAGAAAUGCAAGUUUUCCAACUUUGACAUCUUAUGGUAUUUCGGUUAUAUCUUGAGUUACAAUGAUCGGAUUAAGGUGAUUCUCAUACCAUUUUGAAGCUAAGAUAGAUGUACAUUUGGUAAGAAGAAUCGAAGUCCAUUUCAGUCAUUUUCAUUGUCAAAAAGUAAAAAUAUAGAAGUGCAUUUGCAUGGUAGAAAGCUGAAAUAAAGCUCUGACCAGUCAAGAGUAUUUUAGUUAUUUCUCAGUUUGAAUUCUUGAAGCAUUGGAAAUUUAACUCAAAGGGCUACAACUUUCUUAUUUUCCACAAAAGCUAGUUCGGCCUCCAUCAUUGAGAAAAUAUUAGUUGAAGUGGAGCUAAAUUCGCAGAGGUGAAAACACGAGAUGGCAAUACGCGACCUUAAGUCGCGUAUUCCUGAGGUCACGUAUUGUAGCCUACUUUUUGGAACUUGCUUUGCCACUUGCUCUGUUUUCACACUACUUUCCAACUCUACUUCUGCACAAAAUUUUGGCUGCACAUGCUUAAAAUUCCAACUCAAAAUUCCAAAAGGAAGAGCAAAGAAGCUUUAUGUCUUGUCUAAAAAACCACUUUUUGACUCUCUUAACACUAAGUAUGUAAGAAUCAAUAGAAAAGAGGAGAGGCGAGAUUAGAACCAAUUAUUAUCAUAUUUUAGUAUUAGAGCUUAGUUCAAGUCUUGUUUUAUUCUCUCUAAUUAGAAUAUUGUGAUAACAAUUGGAGACUUCACUGUACUACUUAUUUUGUUAAAGAAAUAGAAGAUUAUUGCGAGCUUCUUACCCAUUUGGCUAAGCUUUCUUUAUCUACCUUAUACUUGUGAUUCAAUAUGUAUUCAUGCAAUGAAACUAUGUUCUUUCUUGCCAUAUUUCAUAUGAGUAGCUAAAUUUUUAGAUCUAGGGAGUAGAUGAAACUUAUGGCUAUUUGAUAUGAAGUGGAUAUGAUUUACACUUGUUACACCUUGUAUUAACUUGUUUAUUUAUGCAUGCUUAUCACUUAUUGUUACUUGAUCACCAAUAACAAGCUUUUAUUAUUCAAUGAAAGUGGGUAAUAAUAAUGGAACAACAUAAAUAGAGUUUAAGUAGUAUACUCAUGAGAAUAGAAAUACACUUAAGUGGAUUAACCAUGCAUUUCAUGAAGAAAACAAGAGUAGAGCUAGUUAUUUACCAUGAGAAUAGGGGGAACUAGUCUAGUCUAGGCCAUUUCAUCAUGAGAAUGAGAUUUGAUAAUAUUAGAAAUGAAUCCCUAGUUAAACAAGAGUUGUAACAAGUGGUAAAUCUAUUUAUUUGCAUCUUUUAUGCCAUAAGUGGAAUCUACAUCCCUAGACUCAAGUAUCUAUUGAAUUUUCUCCAUUGUUACCUUGCAUGUUAUCUAGUUAAGAUUAGUUAGAUAGUAGUAAUUACAACUUCUCUUACUUUAAUUGAUUAUUAGUCUAAAUAAUAGAGUAAGUAAGGUCUUAGUACUUAUAAAGUUGCUUUCUGUAGGAUCGACCCGAUUUAUAUCCUAAAAUACUAGUUGACCUGUAUACUAGCCGCAAAACGAGUAUGAUUUGGAAUUAAUUUGUACUCAUAUUUAAAAACCCGUCAUAUAACAGUUUUUCAUACUAUAUUGUUGACGGGUAUUUUACAUACGUACAAGUUAAAAAACCGAAUUACACCCGUUCACUGCAAGUAUACAGAUCAACAAGUAGUUUAGGGUAUAUAUCGGGUCGAUCCCACAGGGAAGAGUGAACAAUUACCGGUAUUACUAAAGCUUCUCUAUUAUUUAGACUAUCAAUGAAUUAUAACAAAUUUAACCUAUUGAAAUUAUACAAAAUAACAAAUAAAAGCUCCUUAGGUUGUGGUAUCCCUAACUACUCAUGCAAGUGCUAUAUUUGGAUCAUUGAGUAUUACAUCUAGACUAGUUAUGGUGUAAUUUCCUUAAACAUGUGAAAUCUACUUUCAUAGUGAAUUAACCAUACUCAUAACUAAUCCAUACCUAUUUUCAUGGUUAUGAAAUGAGCUACAAGUUCAUUUUUUCAGUAAAAUUACAUGAAAUGAAUCACUAAAAACCACAUAAGUGCACCUCUACUUUCGUGAGUGUACUCCCUAUGUUUAGCACUUCUUGAACUAGUGUUAAAUCUCAAUUUUCAUUGCAGAAACAACACCUUAGAUAAUCACAAUCAAUGGUACCAGAUUAAUCAUGAUUUAAAGAGCCAAAGUGCUAAAUAACUUGCUCAAAUCAUAGCAACCAAAUAACCAAAUAAUAAACACUAACAAUUAUAGAAAGUUCAACCAAACCCAAGGCAUAAACUUUAGAGACACAUAUUGAACACAAAAUCCAGAACUUGUAUAUUAACUAAACUUGGAAUCAAGUACAAAAGAUAAAGAGUUUGGAAGGAAUGUAACCCUUGUCACAUGAGUUCAUCUCCUUGCCUUCUUCAUCCUCCAUUUUCAUCUUUGCCUAGCUAAUAAAUAAGAAUGGAUGAACUACUAGCUAAACUAUCCUACACUAAGAAGAAUGGCAGAGCUACAUUUUUACAGACCAAGCUUUCUCCCGUAUCUCUCUCUAUCUCCCUAUGUUUUGCAAUGAAUUUGGCUAUUUAAUGAUGAAAGUUAAGGUUGUUCAAGAAAUAAGGUUUUUAACUCCCUUUUACAGCUGGAAAUGUUUCUCACAUGUCUAGCAUCACAUGCGAGUUGGUGGAGUUGAAAAUAAGCUUUCCGUGUAAAGAACAGCCUUCUCUGACCACAAUCCGGCUAGAAAUCCGGCCAAAUUCCGGCUGGGUUGCUACAGUGACCAUUUGGUCACUUCUGGUUCAAUUUUCAGCUCUGCUCCAAUUUUGACUCAACUUCAACUGAACUUUUAUUGAUGAUAAAAGCUGAUUUAGCUCUUAACCAAAACAUGAAAGUUGUAGCCCUUUGAGUUAGAUUUCCAAUGCAUCAAGAAUCACCUCAUUUGGAUUUGUGUGGGCUGAUAAAUAACCGAAAUACCCUUGCCUACUCAUUGCCCUGUUCCAGCUUUGACUAUAGAAAAGUAGCCACUGUAAUUCGGCUUUUUGACUUGGAAAACUUUCAAACUGGAUUCAAAUGUUUUCACCAAAAUUGUAGAUCUAUCUCUUAUCUUUAAAUUGGUUCAAGAAUCAUCUCAAUCCGAUCACUGUAACUCAAGUUAUAGCCUAAAUACGAAAAUGUGUCAAAACUGUCAAAAUACACAAAAUCCCACUAAAAAGUGAUAAAAACCUCAUUUAAUCACUUAAAAGCAUUUUUCACCAAUUAUAGCCAAAAUGAUUCAUUUUCUUCCAAUAAUAUAACUAAAGUGACUAAAAAUAAUAUAAAAUAUCAUACAAUUAUUACGUAAAUUAGUCACUUAUCAAUUGUAGUUAAUUUAUAGAAUUUGUAACCUAAAAAUUGAUUCAUAUUUGAAUGGCUUAUAAAAACUCAAUAUUUCUUCAUUUGACCAAAUAAUUCAUUUGUAACUCCUUUUCAAAUAAUUGUACAAUAACUCCAUUCAAAAUGCAUUGUAACUCACAACAUUAUAAUUUCCAUAACUCCCAAAUAAAUUGUUAUAACUCUUUGUAAUGAUUUGGUCAAAGAAAAUUUAAGAUUUUAUUAAAAUGUACUAACAUGUUUUAGCAUUGUGGUGGUUUUACUUAGUUAAAAUUCUUGAUUAGUCUAGAUAAUCGAGUUAACUAAAAACCUUAGUAGUUGGAAGUAAUUCUCGUGGGAUCGAUUCUAGUUCCUCUACACUACAAAUUAUGACCUAUAUACUUACAGUUCACGAGGGUUUAGGCUUUGAAAGUUAAAGCAUAGGUCUGAACCUCGUCAUCAAUUAAUGACUCAACUUUCUUUGGAUUACAUUUUUUGGAUAAAAGUUAUUAAGUGAAGCUUGUAUAUAUGAAAUCUUAAUUUGAUUUAUUUAGUUUAGAUUUAAAUAAGGGAAAAAUUGUUCAAAACAUCUUUCAUAUUUUGUCAAAUGAUUUUUUCAUCUCUCACUUUAAAAUGUUGAUUUUACAUCCAUAACAAAAUUAGGUUUGCCAAAUUUAGUCCCAACCUAGUUUUCCAACCAAAUUUUAGCCUGAUUCCAUUACGUGACCCACAUGUAGUUUUUUGUUUUUAGGCGCAAAAAGGUCAGAUAUGUGCAAAACAAGCACAUGAGCUUGAGCACAAAAUUUUGAGUUGAAAGACAAUAUUGACAAUUAGUAAAAAAAAAAGAAAGAGCAAAAUUACCAAUUUAUUUAAUUUGGAAUUUUAAGGAUGUAACUCCAAAAUUUAAAAAUUUACAAAAAUUUUGAAAAGUAAUAACCAUGAGGGAGCCAAAUUAUAGGAGUAGAAAAAUAGAAAAUUUGGAGGAAUAUUAGAAAUCCUAAUUAAGAAGCUAGCAUUACAAGGAGGAACAAAAAACCAAAUUAAUUAAUGACUCAAAAUUACAAAAAAAAAAAAGAAAAGAUAACAGAAUAUCUUUAGUUCAGAAAUCCCAAAUAAGUGAAAAUAAGAAGAGGUAGUUGGUAAUUUCAAAGUAUUAACAAUUGAUCCACCUUCCUUUGUCGUGUACCAUAAUAAUAAAAAAAAUUGUAUACGAAAUAGCUCUUGCUUAAGAGUACAUUUUUAAGUUCUGUUUAUUUUUUCUCGGAAAAGUCUGAAGUAACGAUCGUUAUGGUAACGAAACUGUUUUUAUCUAAUAUGAUAGGCAAAAACACUUUUAACGACCAUUUGAUUAUCUGUUGGACCGGUCAUCUAAACAAGACAAUGCCUAAAAGUUUGGCUAGUAAAUUUCGCAUUAAAAAUAGUAAGUUAACCCCAUAAAUUAGUAACUUUUAUGUCUCAAAAAGCAAAUCAAAAAAAAAUUGAAAGUUACUUUUCAAAAAAAAAUUAAUUACUACUUUAUAUUCGAAACAUAUUUUUUGGAGAGUAAGUUUAGUUCAAGUAAUAGUAAGUUUUUAUAGAUUAAUAGUAAAUCUUAUUGAUAGAAUAGUAAAUUUAGUUAAUGUCAAAAGUUACUAGUUUGUGGCAUAAAUGUACUAUUUUACUUAAAGAAACUUAUAUGAAACAAGUAUUAGGAAGUUUAUUUAAAAUAAUGCUAAGAUUUUUUUAUUAAUGAUUGAAACUUAAUAUUAUAGUUAGUAAUUGCUGGUAACGUAAAUGUAUAAUACUUGAUUGUAUGCAUCAUUCAUAAAUGUUAUGUGUUUUAAGCAUUUUAAUAAAUGUAUGUAUCAUUUAUAAAUGUUAUGUGUUUUAAUAAAUUUAUUUUCUAGGCCACAAGUAUAAAAGUUAAAGUUGUACUACUGUAGCAUAAUCUUUGAAAAUUAUAGUAAAUUUACCCAUAUAUUAACUUUCAUGUGUUUCAAAUAUAUUUUAUAUCAUUUACAAUAUGGAUUUAUAUGCACUUCUUUUUAUCAAACUUAUUUUUAAUUGGCAAAUAGUAUGUAAAUUAUUAUAAAAUGUCAUUUUAUAAUAAUCAUAAAUUUUAAAGGUGAAUGGUAUAUAAACUGCUAAAAUUAUCAAUUUAUUAAUGAUUAAAUCUUACUACUUUAUGGCAUAUAUUAGUCUGAUCAACUAAAAAAUUACCGUAAUUAAGUAUAGGGUAAAAAAUAAAAAAACCCCCUGUGAUAAACCUAAUACACAGAAAAGCUAUCCAUGGUUUCAAAAUAUACAACACGACCCCUCAUGCUUUGAACUAAAUUGUAAAGGUGACGGAAUCCGUUAAACUUAACGGAAAUGAACAAAAUGACCAAAAUGCCUUAAUACAAUAAAGCAAAAGACAACUCAAAAAAAUCAUUUGUUUUAUUUUCUAAAUAGAGAGAAUUGAAGGUUAAGGGGUAGAAUAGGUAUAUUUGAUAAAAAUUAGGUAUAAAAAAUUUUUUUUAGGUUCCAAUAAGUCAUUUUCGUUAAAUUUAACAGAUUCCGUCACCUUUACAAUUUAGUUCAAAGCAUGAGGUGCCGUGUUAUAUAUUUUGAAACCAUAAGGGGCUUUUCUGUGUAUUAGGCUUACCACAAGGGGUUUUUUUGUUUUUUACCCUUAAGUAUACCUUGAUUGUUGAUUCGAAAUUUGCACCCCUGUCACUAUUUCGUUAUUACUACCACAAGUUUUUCUAAUCAAAGUAAAACAAAAUGAAAUAUCUUUUCCUUUUGUAUGCAGUAUUUAUUUUAGUAAAUAAUUAAUAAACCAUGAUUACAUUACAUAAUUUCUAAUGAAAUUAGUAACAUUUUCUAAAUAAAUUGGAAUAAUUUGUAAAAUAUGUUAUUUUUUUACUAAUAUAAUCAAAAGAAAUUUGCACUAUUAAAAAGCAAAUGGGAAGAAAGGACGAUGGCAUAAGUAUAAAUGUGAGCAACUAUAUAAAUAUCACACCAUGAGUUUAGGUUUGAUUUGUUUAAAACAUCGGUAACUUAUUCGUUGGUAGAUAUAAAAUGCAUAUUAUUUUUCUACAAAUGGAAUAUACAAUUUAAUAUAUACUAACCAUUAACAGAAUAUGUAGUUUGAACACGAUCAAUUGAGCUCAUAUUUCGUUUGUUUAGUUAUCAUUUAUUUUGUUACUUAGGUUGAAUAUUUACAUUUGAAUAGAGUAUUGCUAUCAGAACUUCAAUUAUUCUUAAUGACACUAAUUUUAUGCAGAUAAAAGUUCGUCUAGACAAUUAAGUGUCAAUGACAACAAUUGCUAAAAUAUGGUUUUUUAAAAUUUUUUGAAAAAUGACAAAAAAAUUACACUUUUUUUUAAAAUAUCAAAUUAUUAAUUCAAUUCAAAUUAAUUUUAUAAUAAAAAAAUUUUACUCCUUAAACAAGUUGCUUAAUCGGUAUCUAUGCCCAUACUAGUGUCAAAUGGAUAACUAAAAUAGGAAAUUGCAACAAUAAAUAAUGUUACGGGAAAGGUGCACAUAAGUAGGACUUUUGUUAAUUUUAACGCAAAAUUUCAAAAAAAAAAAAAAAGGAUAGGCUUUUUUGUGGUUUUGAAUUCAAAAGUGUUGUGGUUGUGAUAGAAUUCUUUGUUAAAAUUUGAAACGGUUGAGAAUUCCAGAGAUAAGUGACAAGGUGACUUUUAUUAGCCAUGAGUUUUCGUUUAAGUGGGAAAGGUCGAUGAACUAGGGCACGACUUUUUUUCUCACAUUUUCUUACAUUUCUCUUAUUACUCAACAGUAAAACAUGAACUUCAGUCUUUUUGUUUAAUCUUGAAUGUGAUUUUCAAUAUCCAUGAAACUCACUAGUUGAUACCUGGAAAAUAUCUCUUCGCCUGGUAAAGCUAUAUUUUACUAAUAACUACUUAUUUGGGUUGACAAUUUGUGAAUUACGGAUGAGCAACAAAUAAAUGAUGUAAGUAAAUUAAGCUGUGGGAUUUUAUGCUUGUAAGAUCUUUUUAUAUUUUAUUCCCUCUCAUAGGUAUGCUCUAUUAUAGGUGUUUUUUUUUUUAUAUUCACCAUAUUUAGUGAAUAUUUAUUGUUAGCUUUGCUAAAAGUUAUUUCCGUUCUAUUUCUUUGGAAUGGAAGCAAGGUGAAGCAAACAAACUCCUUUAAAGAUAGAAUGUUUUUUUUCUAAUGGAAAACUGAGGUUAGACUUGUAGUAUAAUUGAUGUCAUUCAUGGUAACGCACGUGCUAUGCAAUUGGAGUUUAAUAUUGAUUGACUUAGAAUUUAAUAUGGUAACGCACCCCAUAAAGAGUUUAAUAAUUGUUGUCGUAUCCGCAUGUUUCCUUAAUUUGCUGAUAAUAUUAUUGUGAUUACUUUUCCUUGAGUGACUAUUCAUUUGUAGUAUGGAAUCUUUUGAAAAUGGUAAUCUGUAAAUGAGUAAUUGUCCUAUCCCAUUUAUUGGAUUGCGGGUUCUGGUGCUGUGUUUUGGCAAACCUAUGUUUACUAUUGAUGGAUAGUUUAACUAUAAAUCAAUCAUUGAAAAAAUACCGUGAGAUCUCUAAUUUAAGCUCUAAUGCCAUUCUUGCUCAUGUGCUAGUCACUCUAGCAUUAAAAAUAAAGGCGGUCCUAUGGAUGAAGAAAUUGAUCCUAAAACCCGUCGCUCACCUGCUGCACGUAAAGAAGAAUCACUUGACACACUAUUUGGUCCUAAUCACCUGCUGCACGAUUUUUUUGCGGUGAAUAAUUUUAAAUGUCAUUGUAACUGUUAUCUUCACUUGCAUGGUUAACUCACUAAUUCUAUUAUGGUGUCAUGAAUUUUCAGUUUCAAUCCGGGAUUGAACAUUGCAAUGGAAUUGGUCCUACACCCUGAGAACCCAUGGGGAUUUCUUUUACAAGAUCAUUUGCAAAGAAGAUGAACAAUAAAAGUAUUCAUAGUUGGGAAAAAUUCUAAUUUAUCUUUGCUAUUUCUAGCUGAAUAACAAGUACUUAAUAAGGCAGAAGAACGUUUCAAGUCUUGUUGUCACUUUAUUUUAUGGUCCCUUAAUUUUGACGUGUACACAAAUUUGCCAUGGACUUCAGUCACAGCACUACUACUUGGUAGUAAGCUCAAAAUGCUCCUUUUAGUUUUGUCCGACAAAUUUAGCAUGCUUUUGUAAUCAAUAGUACGAGAUGCAAGCGUAUUAUUAAAGAUGCAAGGUACCAAACACCUCAUGGACUUGUAAAAGCCCCUUCCCUCUAAAUUUUGAUUAGCCAAAUAUCCAAGCAAGUACAAAUUGUAACAUCGCAUCAAAUCAGACAUAUAACAUCGCUUGACAUACAUAAAAUACAAAAGGAAAAAUUGUGAACAUAAAACAAGUAAACACAAGAAAUUGCAAACUAAGGAGAUUAUGUUCAGAUUUACAAUCAAAAUGCAUUAAACUACCUUCGAAGCGACUUAAAUCAUCCUAAAAUAUUUGAGCAAAGACGAACAAAAAAAUUUGUACCCUCUCGAGAAUAAAAUUCCUUAAUGGUCUUGGCUGAAAUCUGGUUUAUUCACUACAAAACCAUCACAAAAUUUGUUAUAAAAAUAAAGCCACAACAACACAUAAUCAUAGCAAAUAAGUGACAUAAAACUUAGGCGUGAAGAAGGAAAAAUGUACCUGAAUAUUUUCGUCUACUAACAAGCUAGUGUUUCGUACAUGACUAUGGAUUAAUGAAGGAUUGCAUGCCCACAUUAAUGCCUAUACAAAUGCAAAUACAGCACAAUUAUAUUUCAUGUCUUCACACAAAAAUAAAAGCAAGCUGUACAUUACCUGGCCAGGAGGAAUGAUCUGAAACCAAUUACUAUCCAUUAACUCCUUAUUGCAUCCAUGCUGUGAAUCUGAUUGCAAUAUGCCAUAGGAUGAUCCUAUCAGGUUCAAAUUUACAUUCUCAACAUAAUUGGGUGCUCCCAUGUGAUCAUGAUUGUGAGUUUCAUAUGCAUCUGUGCACACUUUAGUACAUUUUCGUCUAUCAUGUCCAAAUGACCUGCGAACAAAAAAUUGCCAAGCACAAUCCAAAAACAAAAAGAUUAAAUAUAUAAAGGAGUAUAUGAAGUGUAUAUAUAUAGCUAACAUUUUUGGCCUUCUAAAAUCAAGCCAAUGAGUGGAUCAAUUAAUUUCACAAAGCCCAAAAGUUUCACUUAGGGAAGAGGUGGUUUUCACUCCACUAAAAGGGUCUUUACCUACAAUUGGAAUCUAAGGGCCCAAUAGGAAUAAAAGAGGUACUGAUGUACAUAUAAUUGUUUGCCUAUUUCUUUUUGUUUCAUACGGCUAAUGCCACUUUGUACUUUUCAACCAUACUUAGAUUCCUACUUUAAUUUCUAAACUGAAAAUAAGACACUUUAAACUCUAUAUAUAAAAUUUACCCCUUUCGAGUAAAUUCGUUGACUAACAGAAGUGAGACAAGUUUUAUACUUAGGUAGAAGAAAUUUUGUACUUUAAGGACUAAAGUAAGACAGAUCGUAUAUCUUAGGAACUAAGGUGGGACCAGAUUUAUACUUUAGGAAUUAAAGUGUCCUAUUUUGAAAUUCAAAAAUCAAAGUGGAAAUUCGGUUCAUAGUUGAAGGAUGCAUCCACAGGUUUAAAUAAUUUAUUUAAUAGUUUUAUCAUCUGAUUUUUUCUUUUAGUCUUGAAGAAAUAGAAAUUACUGAACAAAUUAAUGCAGUCAAUUUGUCCUCUUAAAUUAUGCAUAAAAUCGAACUUUUGUAUGCCUAAUGAAAACACUACAUAGUUAGAAGUUAAAAUGCUUGUUGCUUUUGACAAAUAAAUUACUCUAUUGGGGUCGGUGGAUUUGAAUUCAAUAAAUUAUUCAGUUGAAUGGAUUUGAAAUUGUGAUCAAUUGAAAUACAUUGUUUGGCACAAAUAUAGUUCAAACUCUAAUUUAUUGUAUACUAAUAUUUUACACACCACAACCCCCCUUCCCAAAAAAAAAAUGAUAAAGUUGGCCGGCGUAACUGAAAUUCGUCAACUGUGGUUUUAAUCAAGUUGUUUGGUGCUUUCUAACUCCGUACAGGCAUCAAUCAUAUCAUACAAAUUUCUUUUUGACAUUGCACCAAACACCUUAUAUGGAUUCCCAAAUUAACCACUUUUCACAUAAACGCUGACUCACUACUAUGUUUCACAUAUAGUGUCUAAGUCAUUUCCCACAUAUUUUUCAACAAAAUAUUGACAACCAAAUCAAAAAGAUAAAGAAAUUAAAGCAAUAUAAUCAAGCGGUUUUCAAAAAACAUGAUGGUCUAACCUCUUGGCUGCUAUUUUUCAUCUGCUCUCUUGUCGGAUACCACCACCACAGCCCUAAUAAAAAUUUCAACCUUUUUGUUGGGUCUGCAUAUGCCAGCAUCCAAAACCGAUCGAUCAACAAGGAGAGAGGGAAAGUGUGGACUAAACAAGAAAAUUUUGCCAGGAAAAAAAUUUCUAUUCCAUCAUAUCGUGAAAUGAGAAGAAAAUAAAAAGAAGGCAAGAAACUUUAGAAAGACGUGAUAACCCAAAACCGUUUCAAAAACCAGUGAUUUUUUUACUUAAAUAUGUAAAUUUUUUACUUUUAAUAUUAGUAAGUUUAAUUUAAACAAAAGUAAAUUUUGUCAAAUAAUAAGUAAAUUAAAUUACUCAAAGUGUAAAUUUCUAUUUUUGACUAAAACUUACUCUUUCAAGCAUAUACUUACUAGUUUUAAUUAAAAACUUACUAACGUCAAUAUUAAUUAUUUUAAUAUAAUAUUUAAAAAGUCGCUAAAAACCUUGAUCUGUCACUAAAGGUAAUGAAACCUAUAAUAGUAGGUUUCCUAAUGUUGUUAUCAUAACUAUAGGCACUAUAGCAUUGUCCAUUUUUUCUGUUUUCUGUUCUUUGGCCGUGUUUUCUGUAAUUUUUUGUGAUAAUAAGAAAACCAUAUACGAAAUAGCUCUUGCUUAAGAGUACCUAUAUUAGUUUUGUUUCUUUCUUCUGUUUUCAGUUCUUUGACAGUGUUAUCCGUAAUUUGUUAUGCAUUGCACUUUUGUACAUUCUCCAAUUAUUUUCUCCUAUAACAUACUCACUUAUGGUAUAAGAAGAUUUUUAUUCCUUUUGACUGCAUUUAGUAAAUCUUAAUGUGCAUUCGUUUGAGUGCAAAACUAAAGCAAGCAUUUUCCUCUUUGGCAACGAAAGAAGUCACCGACAGAAUUACUGGAUACUGCAUUCACAUUCAUUGUCCAAACUAAAAGCAUAUAAUUAUGUGGCACUAAAACCAUUCACUUCAUAAAGAUUUCAUUCCUUCCUCUUUUUACAUUGAGAAUAUAUGCAACAGAAUUGGCUUCCUUUCAUUUUCAGGUUCAUCUGAAUCAUCUCUUGCUCAUAAUCCUGCUCCUAACUCUUGUGAAAAAACCAUCAUUCAGUGUUAGACCAGACAAUCCUACUUUUCAGUUGAUCAUCAAAAUUUGUGACCAAAUGCCAGAAACGCUGUUCUGUAUAGACGUCUUAAAACAAAAUCUAUCUAGUCCAUCAACAGAUGCUCGAACUUUUGUUGAAAUAUCGAUCAAUCAAGUAUUGACAAACGUUACCAAUACUUUAAGUGUUGUAAAAGAAGCAAAAUCUCAUGCAAGUAAGGAGGUUGCAGACCUUCUUACAAUUUGUGAAGAGGGUUAUACCGAAGUAUCUUCUUCGUACAAUGAUGCAUUUCGGGCACUUGCCAUCAAUGAUAGUUCUUCUGUGUUCUUGGAUGAAGAACAGUCCGAAAGGCCUAUAAAUGACUGCACAAAUAUCAUUAAUCCUGUGCUGCCUCAGUUUGAAAAAUAUAACGCCCAAAAUAUAGCACUUCAGAGGAUUUCAGUUGCUGCUGCUGCUAUAUAUUUCCAGCGACCACCUAGUCUUGGGGCCUGCAAAAGUUGAGUCCUCGGGCUUUUGAAGGACGUAUGUAACUUUGAGACUGGCGUUCGAUUAGAUAUAUAUUGUAAUUCAUUUCUAUCCUGUUCUCUUGUUUCUUCCACUGGUUUGAAACUCGGACCGGACAUCAUCUAGAUCAAGUGAGUCGAUGGGUUCAACCAAUAAGGUUGGGUUCAAAAACUGAAGAAUUUAAUGAUGUAAUAAUGACGUCAUAAAUAUAUUUUAAUUCUAAAUAAAAUAAAAUAGUAUUUAAAAAAAACUUCCUUUGAAUCUGGCAUACUUAAUGAGUUUUAUAGCUAAUAUAAAGUAGUGGCGCAGUUAAGAUAUUGUUCCAGCGGAACAAAAUAUAAAAUAAAGUUCAUUUAGUUCUAUUAAUACAAUUAGAUAAUAUAAGCCAAAUAUCAAGUAAAAAGAAGUAGAUCUAUAUGUAUUCACUAAAUAAAAUAAGAUGGUAUUAAACUUUCUUUAAUAUGUUCCAAAAUUAUGUUGUAUUGGAAAACUCACUAUUGGACUAAAUUUGUACUAAUAGAAUUAGGUUUGUAAAAAGUGUGGUUGUAAUUUUUACUUGAUUCUUCUACAGAGUUAUUAUCAAGUUAACUAAAGGCAAAUAUAUAUGUUUCCUUACUAUGAACUAUUGACGUGUAAAGAAAGUUUUUUUUUUAAGUCCACUGCUUAAAACGUAUAAUUUCUUUUUUCAAUAGAGGCACAUAUAUAAAUUUUUAGGUUUAAAACAAAAUUAUUAUUAAAUUUCUAUACCUAAAGUUCAAGGUUUUCUUUGACCUCGGGGGAAAAGUGCCCACCCCCCCCCCAAAACACCAAACAAAACUACCUUACAUGUUUGGGGGAAAAGGUGGAUGGCGACGACCAAGCAGUAUCCAGCAAGGGAAAAAUUUUACUGCAAAAGAAACUUUAAAAAGAAAAAAACCAAAAAAUUGAAGAAAACAUGAUUUUUUCAAUUUUCACCUUCAAUUGAAGUUUUGAUCAGUUUUGACUGAAUCAAAUACCUUUCGGGUUCUAAUGUUAAAUCAAACUGGUGACCUUGUUGGUUCUUGGUUUCAGUCGAACCAACUAGUUUAGCUCAAAUUUAAUAACACUAGCUUCUUACCCUUGCACUCUCUUAGCUUUCUCAUGAUUUGGAUUAAAGUGUCACAGUUAAUUUAUUCAUUAAAACUAAUGGUUAAUAGUAAAAAGUCAAAAUCAAACUAAUAAAUUGAUAAAUGUACCCUUGCACUACUUUUUUUCUUUUUUCCUUCUCUCUCUCUAUCUCUGUCUCUCCCUCUCUCGAAAGAGAAUAUAUGAUUUUGAAAACUUAUAUUUUGGUCUAUAAAGUUUUAAUUUUCUCCAAAUACAGAAGAGAUGGAAGGAAAAUAAAUAAUAAAUAAUAAUCCAAAAAGAUGGAAGAGAAAUAUAAAACUAAUAAAUAAGAAACAAAAAAUGCCAAAUAUUUUUUGGCUAUAAAUAUCAUUAUAGGUUUUUAAACCAAAUCUUUAAUGGCAUUUUCUAAUUCUUUUUUAUCUAUUUUUUUCAAUUUCUUCUUUUUUAUGUUUGGAGGAAAAAAAAAGAAAUAAUGAAAGGAUAAAUUUGUCAAUUUAUUAGUUUGACUUUGAUUUUUUACUAUUGAAAAAUUAAAAGUAACACUUUAAUUCAAACUAUGAGAGAAUUAAUAUAAACCAAGGGGGUUUAUGUAGUAAAGUAUCAAAUUACAGUGUGGUAAAAGAUAAUUUAUCAAAAAUUUAACAACUAAUACCUACGUGAAUUGUUACAAUGUUAUGAAAUAAUAAUAAGAUGUAGAUGUCCAUUGAUAUUCUCUAGAUGUGACUGUCCGUUGAUAUUCUCAAGAAGAAUUACAAGAUGAAAAUGUCCAUUUGUAUUUUCAAGAUAAUAGUCACAUGUAUUCUCCCUAGAUUCAUUGGUACAUUGGAUGAACUCAUUUAUGGAUGUACUUGAUGUACUAAAUUCAUGUAUUUGUAUUUAAUAGGGUUCAUGUACCUUUGAUCUUGGAUCACCUAUAUAUAGGGGUGUAUCCUACUUCAUUUGUAACCUUGAAACCUGGAAGUAUUUUGAUCAGUAAAUAUAAUAAUUCUAUCUCUCUCUUCUUCUGACUCUACUAUUCCAAUCCCUUCGUUAGUGGUGUAUUUUAUUAGUUUCACAACACGUUAUCAACACGAGUCUCUCCCUUGAGUUAAGGAAAAGUACGAGUCUCUACUUUGAGUGAAGGAAAGGAGCGAAGCAAAAGUGAAGCACGAGACAUGUCAAGAUUCUGCCCGAACAACUUUUGACUACUUAAAAUUUUUUCCUACAUAUCUAUUACAUAUUCUUAUGGCUAAUCUCACAAAACAAGAGUUCGUACCUCUUAAUAUUUCUGAAAAAAAUUAUUUAUCGUGGGUAUUGGAUAUUGAAAUUCAUCUUGAGGCAAUGGGUCUUGGUAAUACCAUUGUUGAUGAGAAUGAUGCCUCAAACCAAGACCGUGCUAAGGCCAUGAUUUUUCUUCGUCGUCAUUUAGAUGAAGGAUUAAAAGUAGAAUAUCUUACUGUCAAAGAUCCUCUUGUCCUUUGGCGAGAUUUGAAAGAAAGAUUCGAUCACCUGAAGUUGGUCAUUUUUCCAAAAGCCCGAUAUGAUUGGCUCCACUUACGACUACAAGAUUUCAAAUCUGUCGACGAAUAUCAUUCAGCUAUGUUUAGAAUUACUUCUCAAUUAUCAUUGUGUGGCGAAAAGGUCACUGAUGAAAAUAUGUUAGAAAAAACAUUCUCUAUUUUUCAUGUCUCUAAUAUGCUCCUGCAGCAGCAAUAUAGAGAGAAGGGAUUUAAGAAAUAUUCUGAACUUAUUGCAUGUCUCCUCUUGGCUGAACAAAAUAAUGAAUUAUUGCUGAAAAAUCACGAGUCCCGAUCAACUGGUGCAAGUCCAUUCCCUGAAGCGAAUGCGACUCAAUUUCAAAAUUCUGUUCGAGGUCGUGGACGUGGACGUGGCCAUAGAGGUGGCCGUGGAUGUGGCCGUGGCCGUGGACGUGAUCGUAGUAGAUUUAUGCCCCAUGAAAAUUAUCACCGUAGCAAGCAACAAAAUAUUUCUCAAGAGAGAGAAAAUGACUACAAUCCGAAAGAAGGAGAAAAGAAAGUUUAUGAAGAAAAAUGCUACCGAUGUGGUAUGGAAGGUCACUGGUCCCGUACCUGUCGUACGGCUGAACAUCUUGUUGACCUCUAUCAAGCAUCAUUGAAAAAGAAGGACAAAGAUGUCGAUACAAAUUUUAUCGACCAAAAGGAUGCUUAUAAUGAUGAUGAUGUUGACAUGACACACCUGGAUGUUGUCGAUUUCUUUGAGCAUCCUGAAGAUGCAAAAUGAUCAUAUAUUUAAUAUUUGUCUAGAUGUUUGAUAUGUUGUUAGUUUUGCAGGAUUGUCAAUUACUUUGGUAUGUUGUUUGAUAUGUUAUUAGUUUUAUCAAUUUACUUUGCAUAUGUCUAUUCUCACAUCUUUUAUUAAUGUUUAUUUAUUUUCUUCCUAAAGAAGAAAUGGAUGUCAAAUAUUUGGGUCUAUAUAAUGGUGAUGAUAUCAUUUGUCUCAUUGAUAGUGCUUCUACGCACACUAUAUUAAAAAAUAAAAGAUAUUUUUCUUCUUUGGAGAUGGGAGAGACAAAUAUUAAUACCAUCAGUGGUAGUACAAAAUUAAUUGAGAGCUCCGGAAGAGCCACUCCAUUUCUCCCUAAAGGAAUUAAAAUUGUCAUAAAUAAUGUACUAUUCUCUCCCAAGUCUCGAAAAAAUUUAUCCGUCGAAAUAGAUAUCAAAUUGAGACAUUCUAUGAGACAAUAAUAGAGAUCAUGUUUAUAAAUCAAGUGAAAUAAAGGUUAAUCAUAUCAUAAUAAUCAUUCGAGUGCGUAACGGCCACCUCUAUGGCCACAUCCACGUCCACGACCUCGAACAGAAUUUUGAAAUUGAGUCGCAUUCGCUUCAGGGAAUGGACUUGCACCAGUUGGUCGGGACUCGUGAUUUUUCAGCAAUAAUUCAUUAUUUUGUUCAGCCAAGAGGAGACAUGCAAUAAGUUCAGAAUAUUUCUUAAAUCCUUUCUCUCUAUAUUGCUGCUGCAGGAGCAUAUUAGAGACAUGAAAAAUAGAGAAUGUUUUUUCUAACAUAUUUUCAUCAGUGACCUUUUCGCCACACAAUGAUAAUUGAGAAGUAAUUCUAAACAUAACUGAAUGAUAUUCGUCGACAGAUUUGAAAUCUUGUAGUUGUAAGUGAAGCCAAUCAUAUCGGGCUUUUGGAAGAACGAUCAACUUCAGGUGGUCGAAUCUUUCUUUCAAAUCUUGCCAAAGGACAAGAGGAUCUUUGACUGUAAGAUACUCCACUUUUAAUCCUUCAUCUAAAUGACGACGAAGGAAAAUCAUGGCCUUAGCACAGUCUUGGUUUGAGCCAUCAUUCUCAUCAAUAAUAGUAUUGCCAAGACCCAUUGUCUCAGGAUGAAUUUCAACAUCCAAAACCCACGAUAAAUAAUUUUUUCCAGAAAUAUCAAGAGGUAUGAACUCUUGUUUUGUGAGAUUAGCCAUAAGACUAUGCAAUAGAUUCGUAGGAAAGAAUUUUACCUUGAUAAGUAGUCAAAAGUUGUUCGGGCAGAACCUUGACACGUCUCGUGCUUCACUUUUACUUCGCGUCUUUCCUUCACUCAAAGUAGAGACUCGUGCUUUUCCUUAAUUCAAGGUAGAGACUCGUGCUGAUAACGUGUUGUGAAACUAUUAAAAUAAAACGUAGGGAUUGAAAUAGUAGAGUGAGAAGAAGAGAGAGAUAGAGUUAUUAUAUCUACUGAUCAAAGUACUUCCAAGUUUCAAGAUUUCCAAGGUUUUCAAGGUUACAAAUGAAGUAGGAUACACCCCUAUAUAUAGGUGAUCCAAGAUUAAAGGUACAUGAACCCUAUUAAAUACAAAUACAUGAAUUUAGUAUAUCAAGUACAUCCAUAAAUGAGUUCAUCCAAUGUACCAAUGAAUCUAGGGAGAAUACAUGUGACUAUCAUCUUGAAAAUACAAACAGACAUCUUCAUCUUGUAAUCCUUCUUGAGAAUAUCAACGGAUAGUCACAUCUAGAGAAUAUCAAUGGACAUCCACACCUUAUCAUUAUUUCAUAACACUUUUCCUUGGAUGUCCAUGACACAAAGAAUAUGCCUCGUUAAAAUCUUACUAGGAAAAAAUCCAGUGGGACAAAAACCCUAGUGAAGGAAAAAGAGUACACUAUUCUUGUGUAAUAAAUUCUCCCCCUGAUGCAAACAUUAUAUGAGAUCUUUUAGCCGACGCAUUCCAAUGUCGUUUUGAAGGCGAGGAACUAAAUCUUGCUAAUAAAUUCACAGCAAAUUAUAUAUCUGGCCUUGUACAAUUAGCAAGAUACAUAAGCGCACCAAUUGCACUGAGAUAUGGUACUUCAGGACCAAGUAUCUUUUCAUGUUCCUCUUGUGGCCUAAAGGGAUCCUUAUAAGGAUCUAAUGAUCUGAUGACCAUUGGGGUACUUAAUAUAUGUGCUUUAUCCAUACGGAACCGCUUUAAUACCUUCUGGGUAUAAGCAGUUUGGUGAACAAAAAUUUCACCUUCUAAAUGCUCAAUUUGUAAACCAAUACAGAAUUUUGUCUUUUCAAAAUUUUUGAUCUCAAAUUCUUUCUUCAAAUAUUGGACAGCCUUUUGGAUCUCUUCAGGAGUUCCAAUCAAAUUGAGAUCAUCAACAUAUAUUGUAAUAAUUACAAAAUUUGACUCAUUUUUCUUGAUUAAAACACAUGGACAUAUUGGGUCAUUGGUAUAACCUUCUUUAGUUAAGCAUUCAUUGAGGCGGUUAUACCACAUACGUCCAGAUUGUUUGAACCCAUAUAAAGACUUUUGUAUUCUAAUAGAAUACACAUCUCUAGGAUUUGAUUUACAUGCUUCAGGUAUGUUGAAUCCUUCAGGGAUUCUCAUGUAAAUAUUAUUGUCAAGAUUCCUAUACAAAUAAGCAGUGACAACGUCCAUCAGACGCAUAUCAAGUUUUUCAUGCACUGCAAUACUCACAAGAUAUCUAAAUGUGAUCGUAUCCACCACAGGUGAAUACGUUUCAUCAUAAUCAAAUCAAGGCCUUUGUGAAAAGUCUUGAGUUACAAGUUUUGCUUUAUAUCUCACUAUUUCAUUUCUUUUCCUUACAAAAACCCAUUUAUAUCCAACUGACUUUACAUCUUCAAGUGUUUGGACUACAGGUCCAAAUACAUUUCUUUUAGCUAGUGAAUCAAAUUCAGAUUGUAUCGGCCUUUUCAUUUUGACCAAUUAUUACUAUGCCGACAUUCAUCAACCGAUCUAGAUUCAUGAUUUUCAUCAACUUCUAUAAUAUUAAGUGCUAUAUUUCAUUAGGCUCCAAUUAACUUUUUUAUAAUUUCAUUCUCUUUAGGAGUUGGCUCUUCUGGAGCUGGCUCUUCAGGAGCGACCUCUUCAGGAGGUUAAAUUUUGUCAUGACAUUUAUUUAAUCUCCGGAGAUAUUUGAAAUCAAUUUAUACCUUAUAUAGGUAGGUCGGCCUUUAUUUGUAGCACUUGUACAUGUCCUUCAGGGACAUCAAUUUUAACAAGAAUAUUUUCUGCAGGAAUAGUUGAUUUAAUAACUCUUCUGGUGUCGAUAAAUAUAACUUUCUUCAAAUGAAGAAUUUCUUGAACUUCUAGUUCACGUUAUUUUAUAUGAGAAUCGAGAAAAUCCAAUUUUCAGAUAAUUUCCCUUCGGUUGAUCAUUUCCUCCCCCUAAUGUCGGGAAUCGUAGCUCAUCAGAAGAAAUAAAGUUUUCGAUAGAUCACUCUUCGGGGUGAUGCAUCCUGACAUAAAUUUCUUUUGAAACUAUGUAUAAUAUAAAAGGGGUAUGUAUAAAUACUUGUCGACAUUCAAAUAUUCUCACUUUUGUCAAAUCAUAUAUUUAUUGGAAUCAAUAAACUUCUGGUUUACUGCAGGUGAUGAUUAUAAAGCAAAUGAGAAUGAAGAUAACUAUAUCGAUAACCAUUACGCUCUCGAACGAUUAUUAAGAUAUAAUUAACCUUUAUCUCAUUUGAUUUCUAAACAUGAUCUCUAUUAUUAUCUCAUAGAAUAUCUCAAUUUGAUAUCCAUUGUGACGGAUAUCUUUAAUAAAUUUCUUCGAGACUUGGGAGAGAGUAGUGUAAUAUUUAUGACAAUUUUAGUUCCUUCAGGGAAAAAUAGAGUGACUCUUCCGGAACCCUUAAUUAAUUUUGCACUACCACUGAUGGUAUUAACAUUUGUCUCUCUCAUCUCCAAAGAAGAAAAAUAUCUUUUAUUUUUCAAUAUACUGUGCAUAAAAGCACUACUAAUGAGACAAAUGUUAUCAUCACCAUUAUUUGAUCCCAAAUAUUUGGCAUUCAUUUCUUCUUCAGGAAGAAAAUAAAUGAAACUAAAUAUUGAUAAAAGAUACGAGAAUAGACAUUAGCAAAGUAAAUUGAUAAAGCUAACAACAUAUCAAACAACAUACCAAAGUAAUUGACAAUCUUGCAAAACUAACAACAUAUCAAAUAUCUAGACAAAUAUUAAAUAUAUGAUCAUUUUGCAUCUUCAGGAUGUUCAAAGAAAUCGGCAACAUCUAGGUGUGUCAUGUCAGCAUCAUCAUCAUCAUAAGCAUCCUUUUGGUCGAUAAAAUUUGUUUCGACAUGUUUGUCCUUCUUUUUCAAUGAUGCUUGAUAGAGGUCAACAAGAUGUUCAGCCGUACGACAGGUACGGGACCAAUGACCUUCCAUACCACAUUGGUAGCAUUUUUCUUCAUAAACUUUCUUUUCUCCUUCUUUCGGAUAGUAGUCAUUUUCUCUCUCUUGAGAAAUAUUUUGUUGCUUGCUACGGCGAUAAUUUUCACGGGGCAUAAAUCUACUACGAUCACGUUCACGGUCACGGCCUCUUCCACGGCCACCUCUAUGGCCACGUCAACGUCUACGACCUCGAACAAAAUUUUGAAAUUGAGUCGCAUUCACUUCAGGGAAUGAACUUGCACCAGUUGGUCGGGACUCGUGAUUUUUCAGCAAUAAUUCAUUAUUUUGUUCAGCCAAGAGGAGACAUGCAAUAAGUUCAGAAUAUUUCUUAAAUCCUUUCUCUCUAUAUUGCUGCUGCAGGAGCAUAUUAGAGACAUGAAAAAUAGAGAAUGUUUUUUCUAACAUAUUUUCAUCAGUGACCUUUUCGCCACACAAUGAUAAUUGAGAAGUAAUUCUAAACAUAGCUGAAUGAUAUUCGUCGACAGAUUUGAAAUCUUGUAGUCGUAAGUGGAGCCAAUCAUAUCGGGCUUUUGGAAAAAUGACCAACUUCAGGUGAUCGAAUCUUUCUUUCAAAUCUCGCCAAAGGACAAGAGGAUCUUUGACAGUAAGAUAUUCUACUUUUAAUCCUUCAUCUAAAUGACGACGAAGAAAAAUCAUGGCCUUAGCACGGUCUUGGUUUGAGGCAUCAUUCUCAUCAACAAUGGUAUUACCAAGACCCAUUGCCUCAAGAUGAAUUUCAAUAUCCAAUACCCACGAUAAAUAAUUUUUUUCAGAAAUAUUAAGAGGUACGAACUCUUGUUUUGUGAGAUUAGCCAUAAGAAUAUGUAAUAGAUAUGUAGGAAAAAAUUUUAAGUAGUCAAAAGUUGUUCGGGCAGAAUCUUGACAUGUCUCGUGCUUCACUUUUGCUUCGCUCCUUUCCUUCACUCAAAGUAGAGACUCGUACUUUUCCUUAACUCAAGGGAGAGACUCGUGUUGAUAACGUGUUGUGAAACUAAUAAAAUACACCACUAACGAAGGGAUUGGAAUAGUAGAGUCAGAAGAAGAGAGAGAUAGAAUUAUUAUAUUUACUGAUCAAAAUACUUCCAGGUUUCAAGGUUACAAAUGAAGUAGGAUACACCCCUAUAUAUAGGUGAUCCAAGAUCAAAGGUACAUGAACCCUAUUAAAUACAAAUACAUGCAUUUAGUACAUCAAAUACAUCCAUAAAUGAGUUCAUCCAAUGUACCAAUGAAUCUAGGGAGAAUACAUGUGACUAUCAUCUUGAGAAUACCAAUCGACAUCUUCAUCUUGUAAUCCUUCUUGAGAAUAUCAGCGGACAGCCACAUCUAGAGAAUAUCAAUGGACAUCCACAUCUUAUCAUUAUUUCAUAACGUGUUGUGAUAACGUGUUGUGAAACUAAUAAAAUAAACUCCCAACGUAGGGAUUGAAAUAGUAGAGUGAGAAGAAGAGAUAUUAUAUUUUUUGAUCAAAGUACUUCCAAGUUUCAAGGUUUUCAAGGUUACAAAUGAAGUAAGAUAUACCCCUAUAUAUAGGUGAUCCAAGAUCAAAGGUACAUGAACCCUAUUAAAUACAAAUACAUGAAUUUAGUACAUUAAGUGCAUCCAUAAAUGAGUUCAUCCAAUGUAUCAAUGAAUCUAGGGAGAAUACAUGUGACUAUCAUCUUGAAAAUACAAACGGACAUUUUCAUCUUGUAAUCCUUCUUGAGAAUAUUAACGGACAGCCACAUCUAGAGAAUAUCAAUGGACAUCCACAUCUUAUCAUUAUUUCAUAACACUCCCCCUUGGAUGUCCAUUACACAAAGAAUAUGCCUCGUUAAAAUCUUACUAGGAAAAAAUUCAGUGGGACAAAAACCUUAGUGAAGGAAAAAGAAUAUGCCUCAGUGGGACAAAAACCUUAGUGAAGGAUGUCCAUUACACAAAGAAUAUGCCUCGUUAAAAUCUUACUAGGAAAAAAUUCAGUGGGACAAAAACCUUAGUGAAGGAAAAAGAGUACACUAUUCUUGUGUAAUAAAUUCUCCCCCUGAAGCAAACAUUAUAUGAGAUUUUUUAACCGACGCAUACCAAUAUUUUUCACCAGUUUCCCAAACGUAGCAGUCGGCAAAUCCUUGGUAAACAAAUCUGCCAAAUUAUUAUCCGAUCGGAUUUGUAGCACAUCAAUCUCACCAUUCUUCUGCAAAUCAUGAGUAAAGAAGAAUUUGCGUGAAAUGUGUUUCGUCAUAUCUCCCUUAAUAUAUCCUCCUUUUAAUUGAGUUAUACAAGCUGCAUUAUUUUCAUAUAAAAUAAUUGGAGGAAUUUUCUUCUCGAAUGAUAACCCACAACUUUUCCGGAUGUAGUGGGUCAUUGAUUUUAGCCAAAUGCAUUCUCGACUGGCUUCAUGAAUUGCUAUUAUUUCAGCAUGAUUUGAUGAAGUGGCAGUUAAGCAAUGUUUUGUAGAACGCCAAGAAAUGGCUGUUCCGCCACAAGUAAAGAAAUAGCCAGUCUGAGAUUGUGCUUUAUGUGGGUCAAACAAAUACCCAGCAUCAGCAUAUCCAAGCAACUCAGGUUUAGAUUUAUUUGAAUAAAACAAACCAAGAUCAAUUAUUCCUUGGAGAUAGCGAAAAAUGUGUUUAAUGCCAUUCCAAUGUUGUUUUGUAGGCGAGGAACUGAAUCUUGCUAAUAAAUUCACAGCAAAUGAUAUAUCUGGCCUUGUACAAUUAGCAAGAUACAUAAGUGCACUAAUUGCACUGAGAUAUGGUACUUCAGGACCAAGUAUCUUUUCAUGUUCCUCUUGUGGCCUAAAGGGAUCCUUAUAAGGAUCCAAUGAUCUGACGACCAUUGGGGUACUUCAUGUAUGUGUUUUAUCCAUACGGAACCGCUUUAAUACCUUUUAGGUAUAAGCAGUUUGGUGAACAAAAAUUUCACCUUAUAAAUGCUCAAUUUGUAAACCAAGACAGAAUUUUGUCUUUCCAAAAUUUUUGAUCUCAAAUUCUUUCUUCGAAUAUUGGACAGCCUUUUGGAUCUCUUCAGGAGUUCCAAUCGAAUUGAGAUCAUCAACAUAUAUCGCAAUAAUCACAAAAUUUGACCCAUUUUCUUGAUUAAAACACAUGGACAUAUUGGAUCAUUGGUAUAACCUUCUUUAGUUAAACAUUCAUUGAGGCGGUUAUACCAUAUACGUCCAGAUUGUUUGAACCCAUACAAAGACUUUUGUAUUCUAAUAGAAUAUGCAUCUCUAGAAUUUGAUUUACAUGCUUCAGGCAUGUUGAAUCCUUCAGGGAUUCUCAUGUAAAUAUUAUUGUCAAGAUUCCCAUACAAAUAAACAAUGACAACGUCCAUUAGACGCAUAUCAAGUUUUUCAUGCACUGCAAUACUCACAAGAUAUCUAAAUGUGAUCGUAUCCACUACAGGUGAAUACGUUUCAUCAUAAUCAAAUCCAGGCCUUUGUGAAAAGCCUUGGGCUACAAGUCUUGCUUUAUAUCUUACUAUUUCAUUCUUUUCAUUUUGGCCAAUCAUUUCUAUGCCGACAUUCAUCAACCGAUCUAUAUUCAUGAUGCUCAUCAACUUUUAUAAUAUCAAGUGCUACAUUUUAUUAGGCUCUAAUUAACUUUUCUAUAAUUUCAUUCUCUUCAGGAGUUGGCUCUUCGGGAGCUGGCUUUUCGGGAGCUGACUCUUCAGGAGCGACCUCUUCAGGAGGUUAAAUUUUGUCAUGACAUUUAUUUAAUCUCCGGAGAUAUUUGAAAUCAAUAUAUACCUUAUAUAGGUAGGCCAGCCUUUAUUUGUAGCACUUGUACAUGUCCUUCAGGGAUAUCAAUUUUAACAAGAGUAUUUCCUGCAAGAAUAGUUGAUUUAAUAACUCUUCUGGAGUCGGUAACUUUCUUCAAAUGAAGAAUUUCUUGAACUUCUAGUUCACAUUAGUUUAUACGAGGAUCGAGGAAUCCAAUUUUCAGAUGAUUUCCUUUCGGAUGAAACGUAUUCACCUGUAGUGGAUACGAUCAUGUUUAGAUAUCUUGUGAGUAUUGCAGUGCAUGAAAAACUUAAUAUACGUCUGAUGGACGUUGUCACUGCUUAUUUGUAUGGGAAUCUUGAAAAUAAUAUUUACAUGAAAAUCUUUGAAGGAUUCAACAUGCCUGAAGCAUGUAAAUCAAAUCCUAGAGAUGUGUAUUCUAUUAGAAUACAAAAGUCCUUGUAUGGGCUCAAGCAAUUUGGACGUAUGUGGUAUAACCGCCUCAAUGAAUGUUUAACUAAAGAAGGUUAUACCAAUGACCCAAUAUGUCCAUGUGUUUUUAUCAAAAAAAAUGGGUCAAAUUUUGUGAUUAUUGCUAUAUAUGUUGAUGAUUUCAAUUUGAUUGGAACUCCUGAAGAGAUCCAAAAGGCUGUCCAAUAUUUGAAGAAAGAAUUUGAGAUCAAAGAUUUUGGAAAGACAAAAUUCUGUCUUGAUUUACAAAUUUGAGCAUUUAGAAGGUAAAUUUUUUUUCACCAAACUGCUUAUACCCAGAAGGUAUUAAAGCGGUUCCGUAUGGAUAAAACACAUACAUUAAGUACCCUAAUGGUUAUCAGAUCAUUGGAUACUUAUAAGGAUCCCUUUAGGCCACAAGAGGAACAUGAAGAGAUACUUGAUCCUGAAAUACCAUAUCUCAGUGCAAUUAGUGCGCUUAUGUAUCUUGCUAAUUGUACAAGGCCAGAUAUAUCAUUUGCUGUGAAUUUAUUAACAAGAUUCAGUUUCUCGCCUACAAAACGACAUUGGAAUGGCAUUAAACACAUUUUUCGCUAUCUCCAAGGAACAAUUGAUCUUGGUUUGUUUUAUUCAAAUAAAUCUAAACCUGAGUUGCUUGGAUAUGCUGAUGCUGGAUAUUUGUCUGACCCAUAUAAAGCACGAUCUCAAACUGGCUAUCUCUUUACUUGUGACAGAACAGCCAUUUCUUGACGUUCUACAAAACAAUUCUUAACUGCCACUUCAUCAAAUCAUGCUGAAAUAAUAGCAAUUUAUGAAGUCAGUCGAGAAUGCAUUUGGUUAAGAUCAAUGACCCACUACAUCCGGAAGAGUUGUGGGUUAUCCUCCGAGAAGAAAAUUCUUCCAACUAUUUUAUAUGAAGAUAAUGCAGCUUGUAUAGGUCAAUUAAAAUGAGGAUAUAUUAAGGGAGAUAGGACGAAACACAUUUCACCGAAAUUCUUCUUUACUCAUGAUUUGUAGAAGGAUGGUGAGAUUGAUGUGUUACAAAUCCGAUCGGAUAAUAAUUUGGCAGAUUUGUUUACCAAGGCUUUGCCGACUGCUACGUUUGGGAAACUGGUGAAGAAUAUUGGUAUGUGUCGGUUAAAAGAUCUCAUAUAAUGUUUGCAUCAAGGGGAGAAUUUAUUACACAAAAAUAGUGUACUCUUUUUCCUUCACUAGGGUUUUUGUCCCACUGGAUUUUUCCCUAGUAAGGUUUUAACAAGGCAUAUUCUUUGUGUAAUAGACAUCCAAGGGGGAGUGUUAUGAAAUAAUGAUAAGAUAUGGAUGUCCAUUGAUAUUCUCUAGAUGUGGCUGUCCGUUGAUAUUCUCAAGAAGGAUUACAAGAUGAAGAUGUCCAUUUGUAUUCUCAAGAUGAUAGUUAUAUGUAUUCUUCCUAGAUUCAUUGGUACAUUGGAUGAACUCAUUUAUGGAUGUAUUUGAUGUACUAAAUUCAUGUAUUUGUAUUUAAUAGGGUUCAUGUACAUUUUGAUCUUGGAUCACCUAUAUAUAGGGGUGUAUCCUACUUCAUUUGUAACCUUGGAAACCUUGGAAACCUGGAAGUACUUUGAUCGGUAAAUAUAAUAAUUCUAUCUCUCUUUUCUUCUCACUCUACUAUUUCAAUCCUUACGUUGGGAAUUUAUUUUAUUAGUUUCACAACAUACAAUGCAUUUUAACAUGUUAUACUUGGACCGGCUGAUCAAGAGGAUUGCAGAUGAAUUGGCACAAAGUUGAACAUAUCAAACUGGCUAGUGUUGGCAAAAUAAACUACACUAGAAGUUUCAAUCAAUUAUUGUCAUUAAAUUAUCUAGAUUGAAUAGACGAUAUAAACCAAAGUAUUGACUACGAACGUUAGAAAUUUUAAUUUGGGGAUAAAAAUUAUGAUAUCCUUGUAUUUAGUGGUUUAUUGAGAAAUAAUGUUUAAAAGGUAAGAAAUUAAGUGGAGGAUUUAAAGAUGGAAAAUAUAUUCUAAGGAAGGCUAAGAAAAAAAGGAUUUUCAAAUCCAUUGCUUACCUAAAGUAUCUAGUGGGACCACUAAUUACCGUAGAAGUUUUAAUAAACACCUAACUAAAUGGAUAAACACCUAACUAAAUUGAUAAUCUUAAAUGGAAUACUAUGAGUAUAUAAAAGGAAGAAAUAGAAUGAUCAUACGAAAAAGUAAAAGCACUCCCUUCAUUCUUGUUCUUCUAUUAGCAUAGUUGACAAAUUAUCCUAUAAUAAUUUGGUAAUUGACAGACGAGUGUUAUAAACUUUGUACCGGAAUGUUGGAGUAGAGCUGGAGAAAAUACGUCUCGCAAUUUGCGGAGAAUUUGGUGAUUUAACAGCACUUGGGUGUGAAUAGAUCUUGUUGAAAAAAGUCUCCUAAUCUACCCUUUCAAUUUGGCAACUUGAAGAUUUAACACUACUUGGAGGCUUGAGGAACUUGAGCAACGCGUAACAAACUGUGCUAAAUUUCAGGACUUGUGGAUCAAAAAAAGUAGAACGAUUGUAAAAUUUCAAGAACUUGAACCUUUGAUAAUGAUGUGAUGUAGAGCUCCAAAUAGGCCUAUCAGUUGGACCAUCUAAGUUGAAUUUUAAUAAAUUCAAAUUUGACUCAUAUAUAGUUAGUACAUUUUUGAAUUAAUGGAGUGGAGCAACAAAGCCUCCUUGCCCAUACUAACGCUUUUAGACAAGCUAAUGGUUCCGCUUGAACUGCAGAUUCCACAAAAUUACAAACAUUUUAUUUAGUGAGUUUGUGUAUUACCUGACCAUGAGAAUUUAAAACUACGAAACCAAUACUACCACUCAUCAACUGAGCAUCAAAUGACCCAUUUGUGACAAUAGUGAUGCAAUGUGUUUAUUUGGAUAUGUAAUUAUUAAUUAUAUAUACCAAAGUAUAUAUGUAUUAUAUAUAUAUAUAUAUGACAGGUGUCGAACCUGUUCAAAAAUAAAGAACCUAAUUGCCACCAAAAAGUCUAAUGAAUUAUUAAAUUGAGUACAAUGGCAAGCAGGGUCGUUUCCUCAGGGACCGAAGAAAAUUCGCUCCUUUUCAAGUCAAAGAGAAACGGGGGUUUUGAGAAUUAAAUGCUAACGAAUUAUUAACCAAAUUAAUCAACUGUGAAAAUUAAUUAAGAGAGACAAAUAAUGGGAAAAACUCUAGCUAAGGAUACACUUCAGAAGUGGUUCAGGUAACUAAUCAUUGAUGCAGUUAUAAUUUCAACAUUCAUUAAUAAACAGGUUUUAACUGCCGAUACGAUCUGACAAUCAAUUCCUCCAUACUGUUUCGAUAGUCAAGGUACGACCAUUAACUAUUUUCCUAAUUUAGGAAUAACCCUAGGUAUGACUUUAGAAUUUAAUUCCUCAAUUGCAUUAGAAAUUAGAGAAAUCCUGUUCUAAUCAAUAAAAACGCUAGGAGGGUUUAUUUAAAUUAGAUCGUGCGUUUUCCUGACACAAAUCUAAUUAUGUCAGUUGCUACCGGGAUUAGAGUAGUCAAACAAUUACGGAUCCAACUAUUCUAAUUAGCAAAUAUAUUAUGUGAAUAAUUAAAUAUUGCGUACCUAUUUAAUCAUACACAAUAAUCUUAACCUAUAAAAGCAGAAAUCUUGCAAAUACCAAUAAGUAGAAGAAACAAAUAAAAUCAGUUAGAUCUCAUAGUGAUAGCUGAACCAAAUCUGCAGUUGUCCCUUGACUAGAGAAUACGAAAUUAGUUUUCCAUUAAUAGAGAACAAGCCACGCAAGAAGAAUCUGUUGGAAGCUUACAAUCCUUGUUUUUCUUAAUUGUCGCCGAAGAAAAAAACUAAGUCUUUUCCUCCUAAAACGAAAGCCUUCCGCCACCCUAAAUCUCCUUUCUUCGCGGCCCUCUCCCAAAGGAAUGAGAGCCCCUCAUGAUCUAGAAUCCAAGUCUAUUAGAACUUUUCUAAUCUGUAAUCUAACAGAUUUCCUAAUAACAAAUAUCACCAAAAAAAAUAUUUUAGUUUCUGAUAGUACUCAACUACUAAAUAGAAAAGGGCAAUAAGUAUUCCAGCAUAGCCACGGACUUGAAAUCCACAAUUCUUUGGAAACUGUCCACGUGCGCGUGAGAUCCCAACAAUCCAGUUUUGGAAAUAUGACUGGAGCGCGCCCAGGUCUAACUGUCAAACGGUCUUUACGAAGGUUGAUUUUCAGCACCUUUUUUCACCAAUUUCUGCAAGUAGCACCAAACACAAAACCUAAGUAGAAUCCACCAAAUGGCGCAGUAUUUAGCCCGAACAAUUAGGAAAUAUUAAUGAAAUAACCCACUAAAAUGUACCCUAUCAAUAUAUAUAUAUAUAUAUAUAUAGCUAUAGAUUAAUGGGCCGAACCUAUAUUUGGUUUGAACUUAAUAAGGUCCAACCUCAGUUCACAUUUAAUUCAGGUAUAAUAUAUUGGUCGAAUCUCAAUUCAUUCCAAUAAAACGGUUAGACUCAUCGAAUUGUUUAUUGUAUCAAACAGGUUGAUUGGCUUGAUCCCAUUGAUAGUCCUAGCUCCAAGGAUUUGAAAGAUUGAACUCCAAGAAUUCGAGUGUCGAAAAACGUAAAUCCCUUGGAGGAACUUGAUGAAACUUAGGAUUUGAGGAUGACUUCAAAGACUUAAGGGAUUCAAUCCAGAUUUGAGAGACAUGACCAUACUUUGUCUUGAAGCCUAUCUCUGCAACUUGUUUCUCUCAGUCCCAUAAUUAAAGGCAACAUAUUGGGUUGGACCAUUUGGCCCAUUGAAAUGGUCCAAAACAUUUUUAGUGGACUUCAAUUAAUUUAAAGUAUAGCCUCUAGUUUGGACCGAAAUCCAAUAAGGCCCAAUUACUUGUUUUACAAAUGAAUGGGGUUUAACUUAGGUUACCCAUUUAAUUAACUGAUAAAGAAAAUACAUCUAAUUAUAAGUUAAUAAUAUUAUAUAUGCUGAUAGCAUUUACUAUUCUAUAAUAGCUGAAUGCAUGACACACAUAAAUUUAGAUUUCAAAGUCAAACUCAGAUUCAUUGAUAUGAAUCCAAACCUGACAAUUUAUACACUAUUAGAGUAUAGAAAAAUUAAUGCUUUAAUUAUUUGUGAGACUAAUUAGAUGCCAAAAUUUCGAUGUCCGACUAGGAUCUGGAUUAAAUCAAUUGCAGCAAUAGUGAAUGGGCACCUUUAACUAUAAUUAAGUUUGAAUUGGAAAGCAUUUUAUAAUAGUAUCAAUAUAUAUAUAUAUAUAGUAAAUCUUAUAUAUACUGACAGUGCAUGCACUAUUAUCGUUGGAUCCAUGACACGUGCAAAAAUUGAAUUUUAAAUUCAAAUUUUGUAUAAUUGUCAUUCAUCUAACACUGACAAUAUAACGCUAAUAAUGCACUGAAAGAUUAAUCCAUAUAUAAUUUAUACGUGUAAGACUUGGAGUCUAUGGAAUUUGCUUCUGCCUUCUAUGGGAUUGGAAGAAUUUACGGGAAGAUGGUCCGAGCACUCGUCGGAUACAGUUGCACUCAGUCAACUUUUAAACUCAAGCUCGUACGGCGUUAACUAAUGACUGAGCUUAAUUUCUGUGGAUUACUCACACCAGAUAAAUGUUAUUAAGUGAAGCUAGUAUACAUUAAACUUAUAAUUUGAUUUGUUUAGUUUAGACUUAAAGAAACUAUGAUUCUGGUUGAAUUCAAUUGAAUUAAUGAGAAAUACAGCAGUGAUGCCCAAUAUUUGGCCUGUGUGCCAAAUUGGUUUCCAAUAUUUUGACCAAAACAAAUUUAGUCACCAAAGUUUUUAAUUUUAGGCAGAUUUAGGACGACUAAAGGAAAUUGUUUUAACUCUGCAUUUUUGGUCCCUAAUGUUUUUAUUUUGAAUCAUAUAUUUUUCUAAAUUUUAAAUGAUGAUAUUAAGGAUUUUAUCAUUAAUUGAGAUGCAAAUUAGAAUGAAAUAGUAUUCAAUGAGUAAUAAGAAUUCUAAUUAAACUUCUUUUCUUCUUUUUUAUUUUAUUUAUUCAUGCUAUUAAUAUACCAUAUGUUUCUUUUCUUUUGAAUAGUUAGUCUUUGGUAUAAUAUACGUAUAUUAUUGUUUCUCACUAUUAAUAAUUAAUUGAUAAUCAGUAUUAUUAUUUAUAUUUAUAAUUAUAAUUAAAAAUUAAUUAAAUAUUCCUUUAAAAUAUAAUGAAUAUAUACUUUUUGUAAAUUAAAUUGAUCUUUUUUUGGCAUUUUAAUAGGUUAUCAAUUGAUUUUGAAAUAAAUUUGACAUUUUUUACACAUUAUAUAUAACAUUAAAUUAUCAUCAAGGUACAUAAAUAUUAAAAUAAAUACAUUAAAAAGACAAUGUUGGAACCUUAGAUUUUAAUUACCAAGAAAGACAACAAAAACUAAAAAGAUAGUUUUCUUAAGAAUUUCUAAAAUUACUUCAUAUUUAUACCUACCUUCACUAGUUUCUAUAAGUACAAUGCCUAACAUUUAAUUAAGUUUUUAAUUAUCAUUAGAAAUAAAAUGAUAAAACUCAUUAUCAAUUAAUUACUAAUAGUGUGAAACAAUAAUAUACAUAUACACUAAAAUGUCUAUAAAUUAAUUCCUUUGGGAGCAUACAAAUUCUAUUAAUUUAGAGAGGUAUUAAUUAAUCGAUAAAUUAAUAAUUUAUUAAUAUGUCAAAUAUACUUAUAAUUAUAUCUAAAGAAUAUUAAUCAAUCCAUAUCUACUUGAUUUGUAAGUAUAAUUUAAUUCUAUUAAUAUCUACAUAAUCGAUAUCAUUUUUGUAUUAUCAAGAUGCCAAAAAGAUUUAGGAAUACUAAGUAAUAGAUGUCAAAAAGAUAGAUGCCCACAUGCAUGUCGGGUGCUCUCUAUUAUAUUCACUCACAUAAUGCUUUAUGCAUUUGAUCAGUCAUGGUUGAUUUUGGACGAUAUUCAGUUAGAUUUAAGUUUUAAGAAAAAACAAGUAACAAUAGACUUAUAUUUUAGGAAAAUGUAAUAUGAAAUUUUAGUUAAUUAUUAAUUAUUAUAUGAAUGGGACCAAAGGACUAUAUAAGGUUUUCAAAAAAUUACUAUCUUAUUAUUUUAUCAAAAUUAUUAAUUUAGCUUGUUAGCCUAAGUAGGGACUAAAAAAAUUAUUAUUUAAUAGAAGUUAUUAAUUUAUCGAAUAUUAUUUUUUGACUUUCAACGUAAACCUCUGAUAUUUGUGUGUGUAUGUAUAUGUAUGUAUGUAUUCUUUAUAAACUUUGCUGCAAGAACCUGGAUAAAUAGUCAUUUAACUAGUCGUUAGUAUCCACCGUUAUUUCAUGUAUUGUUGGUAAAUUUCUUUCAAUUGCACGACAACCAUUGAAUUUUACUAAUUCUUAAUAGCUUUUCAUAGUUUGUCAUUUCUUUAUUAAUACAACUUGGCAAGUAGUAUGAAGGGCAAAUCUGGUACAAAUUUCUCAUCUCACUCCUUACAAAAAAAAAUUUAAUGGUAACUUUUCUGGUAUGGACUGAAUGUGCAACACAAACCUUAUGUUCAAGGGUGGUAAGUGCUAUUUUUUAAACUACAAGGGAGGUAAGUGCUAGUGUAAGAAACCUCAGGGGAGGUUUAUGCAAUUUCCCAAACUUAUAUGUUGGUCUGCCCCUUCCAAGAAUGAUUCCAACUGAACACUGGGGAGGGUGUGUUUUAUUGGAACUCCGCUGUGAAACAAAUGCGUGUGGAGAAUAAAGGGGUGAACCUCUUUUGGCAAAGGCCCUUGACAUCUCUCAAAUUGAAGUUGAAGUUGAUGUAGAAACUGUCCUAUCUCCAAUGCUGACAUAAAUAUGCUGCUUUUCUUGUGGACUGUCGGCUCCUGAUUUCAUCCUUCGAAGGGGUCCACCUCAACCAUGUUUAUUUACAGAGAAGGAAACCAAGCGGCUGAUGCUUCAGCAAAGUUAGGCUGUGAUCAAACUGUUUCUUUUGUCUCGCAUUUUGUUUGGCCUCCAGAAAUUAUAUCUAUUCUGGAUAGAGACAUUAGGGCCAUGAGUACCCCACCCCAUGUUUUGUAAUUGAGAAACUUUAAUCUUAAUUCAAUUUCUUUUAUUAUCAAAUUAAAAAAAAAAAGAAGGAAAUGAUGUAAUUUCGGUAACGACUAAAUUAAAAAUACAAAAGAAAAAAGCACCAUGGAUACUUUUUUUUUUAAUCAAGCAAGGCAAAAUAUAUUAAAAGAAGCAAGAUUACAAACGUACGUAAAAUAGGAUGGAUCUGACAGUAUUAAUAGUAGUCUUGGCAGAAUGGGCACAAUGGAUACUGAUCAGUGUUUAUACUGUGCAAAAGUGUAUGAGAUAGUUCCUUCUUAUUUGGAUUCAUUUCUGUUCUUUUCCAAGUAAUCUACAGACUUCUGUAGAUAACUGUUGUGCAAAUCCUGAUCUCCAAAU
rnacentral:lncRNA from 1 species